UAACUCCCUAUGGUUUCGCAUUUUCUCACUUUAGUACCAUUUGAUUUUAAGUGUAUCAAGUUAGUACUAUGUGGUUUUAUUUUUUUAUCAAGUUGGUACCCUAUGAUUUCAAUUUUCUCUUUUUAUUAUUCAUUUCGGAAUAUAUAAUUUAACGAAAUAUUAAACCACAAGAUACUAAAGUAAGAAAGUAUGAAACCGCAAGGUACUAACUUGAUACACUUGAAACCACAAGUACUAAAGUGAGAAAGUGCGAAACUACAUGGAGGUAUUUAAAGUUUUUCCUAAUUUUAAAUACAGCUAUUGUGGUUUCGCAUUUCCUCACUUUAGUACACUGUAGUUUAAAAUAUAUCAAUUUAGUAUCCUAUAUUUUAUUUUAUUUUUUUCGUCAGUCUCAUUAUUAACUUUUCGUUAAAUCAUAUAUAGAAAACCUUAGAUAUCCCACUUAUAGUUUAUCGAAUAUUUAUUUUAGUAUCCUUUUAACUCUAUCAGUGAUUUAAUGAAAAAAAUUAGUGAAGUGGAUAAUAAAAAGAAAAAAAAUAAAAUUACAGAAAUACGAAAGUGAUACACUUUAAAUUACAAUAAAUUAAAAUAAAAAAAAGUGUAAAAUUAUAUAGGUGGUAUUUAAAUUUUUUCUUUUUUUUAGCAAACUCUUGUUUUACCUAGUCGCCGUAGAUGGAAAGCAGGAUUUCGGAGUUCGGAGUGCAGAAAAGAGGAGGCUCCGCCAAACCGCGAAAUGGUGUGGGAAAACGAGAAGGGCAGAAAGGCCGUUGAGAGGGCAGGUGCUGCCAAACUACUCUUCAACAGUACAACUUUUCUUACCAAUAAUUUUAUAUUUUAAUUAAUUGAACUACAAUGAGGACUCGGUAAAGCAGGAUCUACGUACAUGGUCAAAAUUUGUUGAACUCAGAAUGUGGGCCGUUCGAUUUCCUGUGUUUCAAUCUGCAUUUUGCAAGUGCAAUUAUAACUUGGAAGGUAAUUAGGAAAAUUCUAGAAUGCAACGGGUAUAUUGGGAACGUGGCGUAACAAAUCAAUCAAAAAUUUUCUUUUAAAGAUAUAUGUCCCAUCAUGAUUAUAAAAAAAUAUUUUUAUUGUAUUUUUGUUUGAAAAGAAGAAAGGUGAUUGGUUUGUUAUUUAUGAUGUGGUGUAAGUGUGAUAGUGUAGAAUUCCUCGGUAAUUAGAGGGAUAGUCUCAAAGUGCAGUUGAAAUUGCAGUAAAUUUAUAGAUAGCUUUAACUGUUGCAGUUGAGCCUCCUCGCACAGUUUUGAUUGCGGCAGUUGAAUUCAAAUACAUUAAAAUAAACGCUAGAUUUGAAUCUAUAUAUAAUUACAAUUGCGAUAUAGUUGCAACUAUGUGCAACCAAACAGUCCGUGAUAUAUAUGCUGUAUUGGUUAAGAGAAUAAUUCUACGUAGUGAUAUAAACUUACAUGUUUGCUCACCAAAGUAUAUAACAAUACUUAGAGCAAGUAGCAAAGGGCUUGGUGGUUAGUAUCCGAGACCCAAGUUCGAAUCCUAGUUGAUUCACAUUUCCAACUAAGUUUAUUUCUAAAUAAAAUAAACGAAGCAGAUAGCGUGCUACCUAUCUCUCAAAAAAAAAAAAAAAUUCCAUCAAAGCACUUAGGGCGUGUUUGGUUUGAAGUCGGAGUCGGAAUCAGAAUCGGAAUCAAAAUAAGCUAGAAUCGGAAUCAAAAUGACUCAUUACCUAAUUAUGUUUGGUUCAUCACCUGAAUCGGAAUCGGAAUAAAUCAUUCUCAUUGUCGGUGUUUGGUUCAGGUGGAUAUAAAAAACAUAAUCAAAUUAAUAUACUAAUAUUAUCUUUAUAAUAUAUUAAUUUAAAUUCAAAUUAAAAAUUAAAUAUUAAAAAUUUAUAUCAAAAUUUUGAAAUAUAUGUCAAAAUUUUAAAUAUUUUUAUUUAAAAAUUAAAUUUUGAAGUUGAGUAGAUAAUUCAAAAUAUGAAUAUAUUUUAUUUAUUAAUUCAAACUUAAAAUUAAAUUUAAAUUUUAAUUUGAAUCCAUAAAUUUAUUUUAAGUUGAAAUAAAAAUUGAAUAAAAUUUUAUAUAAAUUAAAAUUAUUUUAAAUUCAAAUUCAUAGUUAGAUUGAAAUACUUGAUAAAUUUUAAUUUAAGUUCAAAUUAAAAUUUAAAAUUAUAUAUUUAAUUUUUAAAUUUUAACUCAUAUUUUAAUUAAAAUAGUUGAAAAAAUAAAUUUAAUCCAAAUAAAUAUCAUUCCGUUAGGAUUCAACUUCCAAUCCGGCCUCCUAAGCCGGAUUGAAAAAAAAGAUGAUUGGGGGAUUCCCAUUCCACUCGGGAAUUGGAAUCAGAAUGGAACCCUGGAGGCCAAAUACCCACAAACAGAUUCACCCGUUCCGAUUCCGAUUCCGAUUCCAUGGUGAAAAAGAAGCGAAGCAAACACGCCCUUAAUAUAUUUCUAUAUACUGUAUUUAUAAGUAUAUUGAAUUAUAAUAAUUUAUAAUCCGUUUAAAAUAUUACAAUAAAGCUUUUGAAAAUCCCUAAUUUAGACAUCAAAUGAAUGCAAAAAUAUUGCAAUAAAACUUUUAAGGAAUGAAAAAGAAAAAUAAAGGUCCCACAAAAUAUAUGUGGGAUCUGAAAGGUGUGGGCAUAGAGGGGGUUUUUUUUUUUUUUUGUUAAUUUGGUUACAAGAGUUUUUAUUUAGAAGGCUUAGGUUUUAAUUGUUAAUUGAGGAUUUGACUUAAUUGGGACACUUAAAUAUAGAUCAAGUUGUUGUCAUCAUCAUUUUAUAAUAAUAAAUUCUGGGGACUAUGGAAUGCAAAUUGGAUCUUGUCAUGUGUGGAGAAGAGUACAAUAAAAUACCAAAAUGAUAUAAUUAUUACAGGUAAUAAAUAUUAUAAGCACCUCGUUUGUCCAUAUCAUAUUUAUAAAAUAAAAUCAAAUUUUGAAUAGAACAUAAAUAGACCUGGCACCACAACAAACAAUGUGUUCAAAUCCCCUUUCCUGUUUGCCAAAGUUGCAAGAGAUUUGAGUUAUUUUUUAUCCAUAUAUAUUAUUAUAGAGUUUUGAUUUGUUCAUAAUUUGGAGGAUCAAAUUGUCUGAUGUUUGUGUUUUUUUUUUAGCGAUCUUUAUAGGCGACAAAAAAAAUAAAAAAAAAGAUAAUAGAGACGAAGUUUAGCAUCACUAAUAAAAGAUUUAAAAUAGAAGGAUUUAAGUAUGACUUUAAUAUAUUACAAUUAUGAAGAUUAAUUUUAUAAUAAAUGAUUCAGAAAUAAUCACAGCGGAUUUUAUUUUCUAAUAAGAAACUGAAUUUAGCUAUAAAAGUGAGGCAACUAAGCAUCGGGAGAAAACAGAUAGAAAAGAAUAGAAGACAAAAACAAGAAGUAAAAACUAGUAGAUAGUAGCCCCCCCCCCAAAAAAAAAAGAAAGAUAUUUGGGUUGGUCGAUUGCACGUUUGCAGAAUUGUUUUACUUGGUGUUAUCCUGCUACAUCUUCACAACACACCUAACUCUUCCGACUGCUUACAAAGGGUUCAGGCUUUUCUAAUUGAAGAUCGUGUUAUUUCUAUCAAACCAAAUUAUCCACCAGCUAGUCACUAGAAUAGCCAACUGCUUAUCCGCAUCCUGAGUGGGACCCCUCUUCGAAACAUGGUCUCAGAAUACUUUGACAUUCCUUACAUUUGAUGAUUCAGUCAUAUUCUUUAAGCACGGCACGAUCAUGAAUCGACAAUACACACAUCCCACAAGCAAGUGGUCUAUAGGCUUCGAUGCGCUUGCACAGAGAACACACGUCUGAUCCCCCGACCACCCUCUCUUUAUGAGAUUGUCCUUCCAAAGAAUGCUUUUUUGUAGGAUUAACCACAGAAUACUUUAAUUUUCAAGGAUACUUUAAGCGUCGAUAUGUGCAACUAAGGGGUCUCUGAGACUGAGUCCUCCAUCGCUAAGCAUAUUGUAUUUGUACGUCGACUUGACAGAGAACUUGUUCGUCUUCUCCUAGCGCCAGCAAACCACAUCUGGCCUGCUAUGUAAGCAAUACUCAUCAAUUCGAUCCUUGAGCAUUUGUACCCUACAGUUGGUGGCUUAGGAGGUUGAGACUUUGUUUUGAAUUGUUAAAACAUUAUUAGUGAAUGAUCAACUAUGGAUCCUUUCAAGACUAAGUAGUUGUUAGCAUUCAUUAAUUAAUUCAUUUAUUAUAAAAGAUAAAAGAUAUGUGCACUUACGAAAAAAAAAAAAAAAAAAUUGACUGGAUCUUUCCACGUGAGGAGAAAAAGAUAUUAAGUCUUCAAAGGAAAGGUACGAAUUGCUUGCUUUUGACUUUUCAUUUAAAAGAAUUAAAAAAAGGAAAAGUAAAAAGAAAUUGAAAAAAAUAAAAAAAGAGCAGAUAAAUGUGAAUUGUUCAAAUGAAUCAUGGUACCCUUUGAAGAGGUUUCUAAAUUUUUCUCUACAAUUCCAUUUAAACAUUCUAUUAUUUUGAUUUCACUAUACACGUCAAAUGAAUUGAUAUCGAAAGAUUUGGUGAGUAUUUUUUUUUAUUACUAGAAUUCAAAAAAAAAAAAACUUUUUAUAUCUUAAAAGAAAGAAUUAUAAUUCUUGGAUGAAAAAAAAAACUGACACAUGACAGUAGAUCGGAACUCCUCAAUGAGACGUCAUUGGAAAGAUCUCCACUGAAAUUUUUUUCUAAUAAAAACAAAAAUAGUAGAAUUCUAAAAUUUCUAUUAUGACAAACAGGUGGUAAAAAAUUAGAGAGAUAAAGUUUCAUGUCCCGUUAACUCCGGAUGACUACAAUAUAAAGAUAAAAAUAAAAUUCCUAAAGUUAAAUGGACCUAAAGUCCACACAAUAAUUAAUUGGAGCUACCCCAUAACAAAACAUGGGUAUGAACCUUGUGAGGUCGGAAUUGUAGGUAUUUUGCGAUUGAUCGUUUAGGUAAUUACAGUAUCAGAGCCAAUGAAGCACAUUAUCACUACUGUAGCUACUGAUAUUGAUAUCGCAACCUACGUCUGGAAAGCCUCGACUAAUUGGCGAAAACCGACCUCAUUAUCAGUAUAUGACUGCUCCAUCUAUCAUACAUCAGCUCAUUGGCGCGAACCAUUUCGCAUCCGGAUUUUGCCGCCGUGCAGGGAACGAUGUUAUGCAGAGAACAGCCUCUUUAAAUUUUGGGUCCCACUUUGAUUUUUUUGUUAGUUUUGAUUGGAACGGAUAUUACUUGUUACAUUGGGUGUUCUGCAUAUUGGCUCUACUUCGUCAUACAGACGUAUAUUUGUAGACUAAUACAUAACACUCGUUUAAUUACUCUUACUUUUUUAACUAGACGGUGAAUAUAUGUGUGACGACUGACGAACGCACUGGCGUAGGCGCACAUGUUUACUGUCUAGGCCAGCAAACUUAUCUUUUUGACAAAAAAAAAGGUUUUUAAUUAGAAAAGGAUAUUUAAAAAUAAUUCAAAUGUAGUGGUGGAUAUACGCCAUUUACCGAGAAUUAUUAUUCCUAUUCAGAAAUAUUUUUGAUAAAUCGAAAUAGUUAUCAAGCUCCUAUAUAAUAGUUAAAGAUAUGUAAAUUAAUAUCAUGCUCUUAUUAAACUAUUUCAUUAUAAUUAUCAAUGUAUGCAUAUAAAUAUACCUCUCAUGUCUCAUAAUUUCUCACCUAUUGAGUAGUAACCAUGGACACUCUUCUCUUGGUCUUCACUCUCUUGCUCUCCUCUGUACUAUGCUAUUUAUUUUUUUUCUCUAAAAAGAGAAGUGGCGCGCUUCGUCUUCCGCCGGGCCCAAAGGGCUGGCCCAUUUUGGGCAACUUGCUGCAGCUCGGCCCAAAGCCCCACCACACUCUCCACGCCCUCUCCAAGGCCCACGGCCCGCUCUUCCGCCUCCGGUUUGGCUUCGUCGAUGUCGUCGUCGCAUCCUCCGCCGCCGUCGCCACCGAGUUCCUGAAAGUCCAUGACGCCAACUUCUCCAACCGGCCCCCCAACUCCGGUGCUGAGCAUACCACUUACAACUAUCAAGUAGGCAGUUUGUUCUUUAAAAGCUUAACUAUCACGAUUUUAGCGUUUUUGUUCACAAAGUCCGUGCGGCACCCGCCUUCCUACUCGAAAAUAGACAAGUUUAGCUCCUUAUUAUUAGCCUGGACCUCUACGUCCUACGACGAAAUAUGCAAAAAGAAGAAAAGAGAGAGAGGCAGAAGUUCCCAAAAAGCUAAGCACUCCACUAUUUAGAAAAAUAGCACUACAAUACACAACUCCUCUUAUGUCUCUUACCUUCUACUCUUUGGCCUAAGCCAUCCCUACAAUUUAUAGACUCUUAGAUAUAAUAAAUCUUGCCUACACUAACUCAUCAUUAAACACACAUUAAAGUACACAUUAACUCACCCACUAUCACAUUGUAAUGAGCCCUCGUGAAUGCCUAAUGAAUGUUUAGUGAUUCCAAGAGUUGCCCAUGACCUUGGGUUUCCGCUGGCGGUUUCGGAGUCAUUAAAUCCAGCAGUUACUUGACCCCUUUGUCUUCCAUAAUAGCGGCUGAUUUUUGGCAUCCUUUACAGCCCGCUCCGCUAACGAAGUUAGACCAGGGAUUUAGCUGGAUUGAAUAAUCACUAAGUCCCUGAUAUUAAGUUCUAAAUAAUCUUAUAUCCUAUAAACCAAAGUUAUUAGAGAACGGUAUUUUAAUAAAUAUGUAGUGGGAUAAUAAUGUAACCCGCAGUAUCAAGAUGUUAACCACACUAGUAAAUAAAUGUAAUAUAUCUAAAUUAUCCACAAUCAAGAUAUGCAAAAUUAGAAUAAAUGAAGUGGAAAGAGAAAAUUCCAAGUACAAUAACAACAACAUAAAAGAAUUUACAUAGUUCACCCAAAUCAGGUUACAUCCAUGGACAUGCAGAGAUCAAAUUUAUUAUUAAAUAAGAAGAUUACAAAAUUUGAUUAGAGAUUAUUACUCUAUUACAAUGGACUUGCAACAUUAUAAUUGAAAAAAAAAAAUUUUCUUACUAUACCUUCUUUGAAUCACCAUCCAAAUCCAUAAAACCUAUUUUGAAAUGUCUCUUAAAUUUUUCCAAUCAACUGUAAAAAUUUUGAAUCAAGCAAGAAGACCAAGAGAGCUCAUUCUUCAACUCUCUUUACACCCCUCUUCUCUAUAUGAAGAAAAAGGAACCCUUAGAGAGUAAAAUGAGAACUCUCUACCAAAAUCUAAUGAGUUAUUGAACCAAACUCGAAAUAAAUCAAAUAGGUUAAUAAGUGAAUUUGAUAUUACUGACCCAACAAUAUAUAUAUAUAUAUAUAUAUAUAUAUAUAUAUAUAUAUAUAUAUAUAUAUAUAUAUAUAUAUAUAUAUAUAUAUAUAUAUAUAUGUGUGUGUUAUAUGGUGGUAUGUAAUGAGGGUGGGUUUUGUCGCAAAUCGGCGAUCAAAUCGGGCGAAACGAAAUGGUGGGUUUGUUGUCUCCGUUGUGCUGAUCGUAUUGGUGUGAUCCGUUCGCAAAUCUGACGAACGGAUCUGCGGAUAUCACGCGUUGAUCGAGGUGAGGUCGGCGAUGGCAAAAAGGUAAUUUUGCAAAAGUGAGACAUUUUAUGUACCGAAUCGCGCGAGAUCGGACGUGGUGGUGCGUACGUGCAAAAUACACUUGCUGGCAGGGGACCUAGUGAAAAAUAGUGGUCUAUGGUGGACUAAACCGCAAUUAGACCAUAGUAUAUGUAUUUAGUGGUUAGGGUUCCCAUGCCUAACCCUAACCCUAACCCUAACAACCCCUACUGCCUCUAGCUGCGCCCCCUAGCCUCCAUCACCUCCCAGCAUUCCACUGUGCGCACCUCGACCUCCGACGAGCUCGUCCUUCCGCCGGAGAUGACCUACACAACCUUCCACCACCACCACACCACCACAUUGUGGUUGUUGAUCCCAGGAAGUUAUCCCAAGCCUUGGCGAAAGCAUCCAUUGGCCGAGACUCCCCCUCCGACGCCGUCACCGGCCAUCCCCGCCGUCAGCGCACGCCGCCGGUGCUGCCUGUGCGAGCCGCGGCCAGCCUGGGCCAACCGAGGCCGAGUUGAUUUCAGCUCGGGGCCCGUUAGUUGGAGUCGCCCUAGCUUGGCCGCCCCGACUUCCUCCGGCCUCCAGCGACCUCCGGNCAAAUAAAAUAUUCGCGUAUUCAAAAGAAACUUAAAUGCUUUUCAUAUUCUUUUCAAGAGGACCAGUAUUUUGAUGAGUUAGAGUAACGCGGUUGAUUUUACAGGACUUGUUCACGGCGGGAACCGACACCUCAACGAGCACAAUCGAAUGGGCCGUGGCAGAGCUAAUCCGCCACCCGAAAAUCCUCAAACAGGCCCAGGUCGAGCUCGACUCCAUCAUCGGCCCGGCCCGGCUUGUGUCGGAGUCCGACCUCCCGAACCUCCCCACACUGCAGGCCAUCAUCAAAGAGUCGUUGCGGCUCCACCCUUCGGCGCCGCUGUCCCUCCCCCGGAUGGCCGCCGAGGGGUGCGAGAUCAACGGCUACUGCAUCCCUAAGCAAGCCACACUCCUAGUGAACAUCUGGGCCAUUGGUCGCGACCCGGCCAUCUGGCCCGAUCCACUCGAAUUCAGCCCGGCCCGAUUUCUCCCGGGCGGGGCGAACGAAAGUGUGGAUGUUAAAGGGAGUGACUUUGAGCUCAUACCGUUCGGGGCCGGACGGAGGAUUUGCGCGGGUUUGAGCUUGGGACUGCGUAUGGUGCAGCUCAUGACGGCUACGCUUGUGCAUGCCUUUGAUUGGACUCUACCGGACGGGCAACCGUCGGAGAAGUUGGACAUGGAAGAGGCCUAUGGGCUCACACUGCAACGGGCCGUGCCCUUAGUGGUCCGCCCCGUGCCCCGACUCCUGCAGAAAGCAUAUGAAUCUAUUGAGAAAUAACCAGGGAUUUAGAAAUCAUUCCGUGGCUCCUGCAUGUUCAAGCGUCAAAGAGUUAUAUAUAUAUAUAUAUAUAUAUAUAUAUAUAUAAAGAUAGAUAGAUAGAUAGAUAGAUAUAAUUAGCAUUUUCGAGAUAAGCUCUGCUUGGCUUAAAAGUUCAGUGUAUUUUCUUCUGAUCCUUGAUGUCUUAAGCUGACAAAAUACAAUAAAUAGGUCGAUAACACACAUUAAUCGGAUUUUAGCGAGACACAGCACAUCAAUUUCAAUAUAUUUUACCUUGCAGAAUGACAAUGCAAUGAAAGUUCUUUUCGCUUUGGAAAACAAUUUCUUUUGGAGUAAACAUCUUUGCGGAGUCCCCGCAUUUCCAACUUUGUUGAUGCCAUUCCCUUUAGCUCAAUUUUCGGUUGUUAUGAUACACGUUGUUCGCCGGUAACUACAAAGGCGCUACAAUUCGCAGAUCCAUAAGUUAUCAAAUAUUUGCGUUUGACAAUUCGAGCAGAACAAAUGUCGAACUAUAUAUCAAUAAUAAGCGCAUACUAAAAUAGUAAAAAUAAAGACAUACUAAAAUAAUUAAAUUAAACUAGAAAAAUACUAACAAUAAGCGCAUAAUAUCUUUGUCAUGACAUAUAUUACAACAAUUGAAUCAGUGGGAUUGGCAAAAUAGACAUUUAAUUUAGCCAUAUUUUGAGUAGAAUAUUAGAAAUAUGGACGGUUUUUAUAAUUUUACUAAAUGUGAAGAGUAUAUUUGAUAUUGAACUCCAAUGAGGGGCGGGCGGUGGAGCGAGUUGAUGAGGGAUGGCCACAUGCUGCCAAACUACUCUCCAACAGUACAACUUUUCUUACCAAUAAUUUUAUAUUUUAAUUAAUUGAACUCCAAUGAGGACUCCUAAAGCAGGAUCUACGUUCGAUUUUCUGCGUUUCAAUCUGCAUUUUGUAAGUGUAAUUAUAACUUAGAAGGUAAUUAGGGAGAUAGUCGCAAAGUGCUGCAGUUGAAAUUGCAGUAAAUUUAGGCGUAGCUUCAACUGUUGCAGUUGAGCCUCCUCGCACAGUUAUACCUGUGGCAGUUGAAUUCAAAAACAUUAAAAUAAAUGCUAGAUUUGAAUCUAUAUAUAGUUAUAAUUGGGAUACAGUUACAAAUAUGUACAAUCAAACAGUCCGUAAUAUAUAUACUGUAUUGGUUAAGAAAGUGAUUCUACGUAGUGAUAUAAACUUACAUAUUUGUUCACCAAAGUAAGUAUGUAACAAUAUUCGGUCAAAACACUUAAUAUAUAUAUUUCUAUAGUAUGACUUUAAUAUAUUAUAAUUAUGAAGAUUAAUUUUAUAGUAAAUGAUUUAGAAAUAAUCACAAUGGAUUUUAUUUUCGAAAUGUGGCUAUAGUUGGUGGGUUAGGAGGUUGCUUAAUUAUUUGCUAAUCAAAGCAUAGAAUUAAGUAACAUUGUUGAGACUUUGUUUUGAAUUGUUAAAACAUUAUUAGUGAAUGAUCAGCUUUGGAUCCUUCAAGAGCAAGUCGUUGUUAGAAUUCAUUAAUUCAUUUAUUACGAAAGACAAAAAAUGUGUAUUUACAAAAAAAAGAAAAAAAGAAAAAUUGACUGGAUCUUUUCACGUGAGGAGAAAAAGAUAUUACGUCUUCAAAGGAAAGGUACGAAUUGCUUGCUUUUGACUUUUCAUAGAAAAAAAUUAAAAAAGGAAAAGUAAAAAAAAUUAAAAAAAGUAGAUAAUCAUGGUUACCCUUUAAAGAAGUUUCUAAACUUUUCUCUACAAUACUAUUAAAACAUUUGAUUAUUUUUACCGACCAUUUUUAUAGCAAGUGACAAAGAACUUUAUGGUUAGUACCCGAGACCCAAGUUCAAAUCCAAGUUGAUUCACGUUUUCAGCUAAGUUUAUUUCUAAAUGAAAUAAACGAAGCGGGUAGCGUGCUAUCUAUCUCUAAAAAAAAAAACAUUCGAUUAUUUUGAUUUACGCUAUUCACAUCAAAUGAAUUGAAAUCGAAAGAUUUGGCGAGUAUUUUUUACUACUAGAAUUUUUUAAAAAAACCUUUUUAUAUCUUAGAAGAAAGAAUUAUAAUUUUUAGAUAAAAAAAAAGAUGACACAUAACAGCAGAUCAGGACUUCUCAACAAGACGUCAUUGGGAAAAGAUCCCCACUGAAAUUUUUUUCUAAUAAAAAUGAAAAUAGAGGAAUUUUAAAAUUUCUAUUAUGACAAACAGGUCAUUAACUCGGAGUUGUAGGUAUAAUGGGAUUGAUCGAUUACGUAAGUAUGGUAUCACAGCCAAUCGAGCACGGCAUCACUGCCAUAACUACGGAUACUGAUAUCGCAACCUACAUCCAGCUGAAGGCCUUUGACUAAUCGAUGGGAACGGUUCCCAGCAUCAGUGAGUGGCCACUCCCAUCUAUCACACAUCAAGUCAUUGGCCUGAAAUGUUGAGGGAACAAUUUUAUGAUGGGAACGGAACAACCUCUUCAAAUUUUGGAUUCCACUUUGAUUAUUUUAUCAAUUUUGAUUUGAACGAAUAUUAUUUAUUUUUAUUUGAAAUAAAUUUUUGUUGAAAAUAUGAAUUAAUUAAAAUUCGAAUUUGAAAUUUGGAUACCAACUAUCUGGUCCUUUGCCAAUGUAUGACUUUUAUUCUUUUGCUGGAUGGUGAACAUAUGCUGACAAACGCACCGCGUAGGCACGCAUGCUCACCAUCUAGGUCAUCAAACUUUCUUUUCUGACCCCCAAAAAAAAAAAGGUUUUUAAUUAGAAAAAGACAUUUAAGAAUAAUCCAAACGUAGUCGUGGAUCGAUAUAUGUCAUUUAAUUUGAUUAUUAAUUAAGUUGCCAAGAAUUAUUAUUACUAUUUUAGAAAUAUUUUUGAUAAAUCGAGUUGUUGUUAUUAAGCUCCUAUUUAUUAAGCUAUUUCAUUAUAAAUUGUCAAUGAAUGCAUUUAAAUAUAUCUCUCAUAAUUUCUCACCUAUUGAGUAGUAACCAUGGCUCCUCUACUCUUCUUCACUCUCUUGCUCUCCUCUAUACUAUGCUAUUUAUUUUUUUCCUCUAAAAAGAGAAGUCGCGGGCUUCGUCUUCCGCCGGGCCCAAAGGGCUGGCCGAUUUUGGGCAACUUGCCGCAGCUCGGCCCAAAACCCCACCACACUCUCCAUGCCCUCUCGAAGGCCCACGGCCCGCUCUUUCACCUCCGAUUCGGCUUUGUCGAUGUCGUCGUUGCAUCCUCCGCCGCCGUCGCCGCCCAGUUCCUCAAAGUCCAUGAUGCCAACUUCUCCAACCGGCCCCCCAACUCCAGCGCCGAGCAUACCACCUACAACUAUCAGGCACAACUAAAAUAACCGCUCACCUCUCAAAACUUAAAAUCUUAAGUUAUUAGAGAACGGUAUUUUAAUAUUUUUUUUUUAUAUAUGUACUGAAUGAGGCCAGGACCUUGUCUUUGGCCCCUACGGCCCGCGGUGGCGUGCGCUCCGCAAGCUCUGCGCCCUCCAUCUCUUCUCUACAAAGGCCCUCGAGGACCUCCGGCCGAUCAGGGCCCACGAGGUAAACCUCAUGGUCCGGUUCCUCGCCAAAGGCGGCGGCGGCGGCCCGACGCCGAUCAAUCUUGGCGAGACGGUGAACAUGUGCGUGACGAACGCGUUGGCGCGGGCGCUGGUGGGGCGGCCGGUGUUCGAGGAGCGGGCGGAGGCGAGGGAGUUCAAAGAGAUGGUGGCGGAGCUGCUGCGGCUCGGGGGUGUGUUCAACAUCGCCGACUUCGUGCCGGGGAUCCGGUGGAUGGACCCGCAGGGGGUGGAGAGGAAGAUAAAGCGGGUGCACAGAAGGUGUCAACCGAUCAGUUAUUUUACAUAGCAUCAGAGCAGAAGGUUCUAAAUUUUUUAAAGUUCGUGACUCGAUAAUAAAAUUUUAGAACAAAACGGUUGUUUCGCAGGUACGACGAGUUUCUCAACCGGCUCAUCACGGAGCGGCGGCGCGAGGAGGAGGCUACAAGGGGCAGGGAUUUUCUCGGCGUGCUGCUGAGCUUGACAGAUCAGGAGCCGGCAGAAGGACAGGAGGAGGGGAGGAUUACAGAAACGAAUGUCAAAGCGUUGCUUCUCGUAAGUAAUUACCAAUUAAGUUACACUAUAUAUAUUUUAUGACUAAAAUAUCAAAUUUUUUUUAUAAAUAUCAAACAAAACAUUAAUAUAUUCUUUUUUCUGAGAGAAAAAUAGCGCACUAUCAGCUUUGUUUAUUUUUUUACAAAAUUAAUUUAGCUGAAAAUAUAAAUUAACUAGAGUUCGAACUUGAAAUCUCGGAUAUCAACCACCAAACUCAUUGUUACUUAUACGGGAGAUGAUUGGUAAAAAUAAUAAUCAUAUAGUAAAGCAGAGACUUAAAUGCAUUUCGUAUUCCUUUCAAGAAGCCCACCAGUAUUUUAAUGAGUGAGAGUAACGUGGUUGAUUUUACAGAACUUGUUCACAGCGGGAACCGACACCUCAUCGACCACAAUUGAAUGGGCCGUGGCGGAGCUAAUCCGCCACCCGGAAAUCCUCAAACAGGCCCAGCUCGAGCUGGACUCAGUCGUCGGCCCGGCCCGGCUCGUGUCGGAGUCCGACCUCCCGAACCUCCCCACACUGCAGGCCAUCGUCAAAGAGACAUUGCGGCUCCACCCGUCGACGCCGCUUUCCCUUCCCCAGAUGGCCGCCGAGGGGUGCGAGAUCAACGGCUACUACAUUCCUAAGAAGGCCACACUCCUCGUGAACAUCUGGGCCAUCGGUCGGGACCCAUCUGUAUGGCCCGAUCCACUCAAAUUCAGCCCGGCCCGAUUUCUCCCGGGCGGUUCGAACGAAAAUGUGGACCUCAAGGGGAGUGACUUUGAGCUCAUUCCGUUCGGGGCCGGACGAAGGAUAUGUGUGGGUUUAAGUUUGGGCCUGCGUAUGGUCCAGUUCGUGACGGCCACGCUCGUACAUGCCUUUGAUUGGACUCUACCGGAUGGGCAACCGCCGGAGAAGUUGGAUAUGGAAGAAGCCUACAGGCUUGCACUGCACCGCACCGUGCCCUUAUCGGUGCACCCCGUGCCGCGACUCCUGCCAGAAGCAUAUGAAUCUAUUGAGAAAUAAUCAGGGAUUUAGAAAUCAUUCCGUGGCUCCUACAUGUUCAAGUGUCAAAGAGUUUUAUAUUUAGUGUCAAAGAGAUUAUGUAUAACUAGAUUACUGUACUAUCAAUAGUACUAAGUUAUUGAUGCUAUUAUAUUUGUAACUCUUGAAUGAAGGGCUGUGCGGUUAGAAUGAUAGUGAUUCCUUAGGGUUGAAUAGGUGGUUGCUUGAAUUGUAUGAUCUAACAUGUGGAAAUGGUUAAAGGAGUAGAUUCAGCAAAGAAAACUCGAUAACACCAAGCGUUAAGCAAAAUUUUCUCUCUCUUUUUCUCUCUCUCUCUCUCUCUCUCUUUCUCUCUCUCUCUCUCUCUCUCUCUAUAUAUAUAUAUAUAUAUAUAUAUAAAAUUAGCAUUUUCGAGCUUGCGUAUGUCACAAACUAACAAGCGAAGGUUGAGAACAAUCACAAAUAGCAUGUUUUGAUCUCGCUAACAACUUUAUCAUUCAUUGACUCUGCAUCCUUUCAGUUCUUUGGGUAUCCAAAAAACUUUAAUGCCUGCACCAUAGAUUGCAGUAUCUGACACAACGCUUGAGGUAAAAUAGGAUUCAACAAUGAAAAUUGACUCUGCAUCCUUUCAGUUCUUUGGGUAUCCAGAAAACUUUAAUGCCUGCACCAUAGAUUGCAGUAUCUGACACAAUGCUUGAGCUAAAAUAGCAUUCAACAAUGAAAAUAGCAUCAAUUCCUUAAGAGAUUAUGUCUUUAUCAAUGUUGCGAUCAUAUUUAUACAUAUAAAGGAAAUAAUAGUGGCUAUAUAUAUGCAACAUAACCAAGCUGGUGCCUUUAUUAAGACACCAACGUUCACACAAACGAACCCAAAAACAUUUCUCCACCGUUAUAUCUCGCCUUCCAAAUCGAUGUCUUGUAAUCUUCAUCAUGGGCAGUUUAUUGUGAACCUUCAGAAUUCUCAAUAGUAGCUAAGAAAUGUUUCGCCAUAGUUACAAUACUUUCCUUGCUUAGCCAAAAAAGAUGCUCCAAAUCGACUUAAUCUGUGACCAAGAAAAGAGUUCGGUGGACGCUCUCUGCUGAAACUGAGAACAAAUUAAUCAAACAUCUCUUCAGGUAGAUAGAGUAACCUCUUCCACAAUGACCUAUGCACAACGGAUUUCCGUAAAAUGAAUGAUUUAUUAUUGAUUUUAUUCCUCAUCUUAUGACAAUGAAUAACCAGCAGUGAGACCGAGUUUCCUUCGUGCCAGAAAUAGGUGCAUCUCCAACUUCAUUUCGAAUCUCUGCUACUCGAGGUGAUCAUGGGGUCGAAUCGACAUGAAUAUUGCAGCGCACAGCCGAAGCCGCUGCUCACUUCCCUUAGGUUCCAAGGGUCGUAUUUCCAUUCCUCUAGUCUUUGCCUUGUAACGCCGCCACGCGAGCUGUAUGUUAACCGCCGCCCACGUUCUCCAAUUCGAUGAGUAGUACCUCGCUGUCCUCUUCAGCUUCUCAUUCGCAAAUUUGUACCUGAAGUGCUCGGUUAUGUAUCGUAGGUGGUGCGCGUCCAAUCCAAAGGCCUCUGUGGGCUCCACACACACAAAGGUGGCGGACGAAGCAGGGAGGCGGUCGACGAACGGGCGGCGUAGGCACCAUGAGAGGAGCUCAUCUCCUAGAAAGUUACCCGGGCCUAGCGUGCAGGUGGCUACCAAACCUUUGCUAAGGCAUUGACUGCUUUUCAAGUGCCCGCGAACUACGAAUAUCAUUCUUUGCACCGGGUCUCCUUCUCUGAUCACCUUUUUCCCGAAAAAUAAAAGACAAAUAGAAAGAAAUAGGUACUGGAAAUGUCAGGAGAGAUAAAUGGUAUUGUAUUUUACAGUUAAGGAACAGUUGAUGGUGUUAGCAAGAUUAUAAUUAAUAUGACUUUUUCCUGUUCCGUACCUUUUCGUCCUUGGAGUAGACGAGGUGUUUAACUCUGUCGCAAAUGUUGUCGAGGAUAAGGUCAUCCAAAUGUUGGAACAAGGGAACCUGAGAAAUGAACAGAUAAAAAUCACAUUACUGUCGGCUAAUCCCAACACGUUUUUUUUCAACAUUCUUCCCUUAAAUUACACGUCUAGAUCAACCGACCAUAAAAGGCAGCAUAUACGAGAGGAUUGUGCAUCGAUUUAGAGAAACAAUGAGCUACUAGCGCUGAUAAAUAAACUCAUUUAUCAGAGGCUUGAAUCUUCGUCGCUCUCUAGACAAAUGCUGACAACUCAAUAACUCGACUUGAAUUCUGCUGUUCUUGAUGUUUCUGCUUUGUUCUUGACUGCUGUAUUCCGUAACCAUGGGACAAUCUAUGGUGCGUUUAAAUUCCGUUAUUCUUACUAUACAUUUUGUUGUCAUAUGAAGAAUGGAGUACCUGUUUUACAAGAUCGAGGCAGAGAUGGCGCCUGAUGUCUCUCCUUAACCCUUCAGGCAACUCCUUGAUGAUCUCCAUUUCAUCCUCGCCCCUCAUCGAGGCCCAUCUCUGCCGUUCGUACUGUCGAACUCUUUGCCUUAAGCGCGAGGGCAGUUGCCUCCGCUUCAUCCACCAUUCUAAGUCUCGACAUCUUAGCUGCAUCUUUCUCUUUCUCGCCAUGACCGCAUGCAAGAAUACCUAUGCGUGAAAGCCAUAGCAAGUAAGAUUAAUUUAAAGCAUAUAUAAAUGUGAGCAUGUACGCUCAAUCUUACUGUUCGUAACAAGGAAUUUCUAUAUAUAAAUACCUGAAUGUUUCCGAUCAACAAAGUGAAGAGCAUUAAUCCACUAAGCACGAUCGCAAUACUGAAUAUCACUUCUAGCCAUUGACUUGUAGGUUCAAGAUUAUUCCCAAAAGUGCUGUAGCAAAAUUGACUUGUUUUGUUAGUAUUACCUACGAAAGUUUAUUUUCUGUGCAAUUCAUACCAUUUUACCUGAGUGUCAUGAGGCCCCAGAAUAUAGGAUAAAGAAUCUUAACAGCAAGUGAGUUGCUGGAAAUAACAGGGAGAGCAGCGUCGUAUAUUCCGAACGGAAACGGCCCGUUCCCGUUUAAACAAGUUUGGAGGUUCUGAUUUGCCGCCAUCGUCGCAUUAUUCUGCUGCACUUCUUUGGAGCAGACCGAUGACAUGAGUUCACAGUUGUUGUUCGUCUCGCAUUGGCUUCGUAUGCACGAGGCGACGCGCUGGAUCGCAAGAAUAUACCAACAACCGCCCGCUACCUGAAAUUCAUUAUGAAAAUUAAAAAGGUGGUAGAUGUUUAUUUGGAGGCCUUUGUACAGAGAUUCCAUUAAUGCUAAACUAGAAGCAACUAGUUGGCUAAAAAGUUAAGAAACAUAUAGGAUUCAUCAAAAGUCAAUUUCAACUUAAAGCAUUAGUUUAAUUAAUCAGAGCGCGAAGUUAUAGUGCCUGAUUCUCUGAUUACAAGAAGAAUAUUAAGCUGUGAUCAACUACGUACGCAUCGGGAUUGCAAAAAGUUAGCAUUGUAAAUCUGACUUCUGAAGGCAGUUAGUGGAUAUAUAGGACAUAUAUACUCACAUGGGAGGCAAUGAAGUAGGCGAUGAGGUUGAGGCCGAAACCCCACCAGAUGGUCCCGAAGAUGUAGCCAGUAACCUUCUGCAUGCUCCGCAUCAUGCAGAUGCUGUGGUACACCUUUGGCAGGUACUGGAACAGGAAAACCGACAAGAGGAUCGUCGCGAUUUGCUUGAUCUCCUCUUCUCUCAACAGCUUCGGCACCACCAGCCAAAAAACAAUCUGCAUUCACAUGAACAAUGUAGACAUGAACAUCGGAGGGUGAGAGAUUGAUUGAUGAGAAGUGUGAUCAAAUAUCUAGAAUACGAUACUAUACUCAACAGUCUUCUAUUUUUUUUUUUGAGAGAGAUAGGUAGCACGCUAUCCGCUUCGUUUAUUUCAUUUAGAAAUAAAUUUAGUUGAAAAUGUGAAUCAACUAGAAUUCGAACUUGAGACCUCGGGUACCAACCACCAAGUCCUUUGCCACUUGCUCUAGGGACGAUCACUCAGUAACAAUUAUUAUUUUUUAAUAACAUAAAUCACCAUACAAGUAAAAUAUAUUAUCUUAGCAAAAUAUGCCAAAAAAAAGUGGAGAAAUUAGAGGCAUUGUGAUAGUUGAUGUUUGUACCGUCCAGCAAUCAAACGAACCGGACUGGACUUGAACCGGGGAAUCCAAAGUUACACCGGUUCAGUUAAACCCGAAGUUAAUUUGGGAUUCUCAGAUUGGGAGUUUCCUGUGCGAAGUUCGAACCCGAACAGCGGAUCUGCGCGGCGCAUUAACGCGCCUCACAUAAAACGCGAGCCGUUCGUCGCGAAACCGACGGUACCAGAUGCACGUGACGUGGCAGUCCGUUUCACGGACGGAAAUGCCUCUCCCCGCUCGGACGUCGUACACCGAGCAAUUGUUCUCCUCCACGUAUCGUCCUUUUUCCCCUCAUGUGGGGCCCACGUCACUUUGUCUCGAUAUCUUACAGAUGACAAUCACCGUACGUAACCCGUACAUGCUCACCAGACUAAAUUAUUGCGCGAAUCUGGUCCACGCAACAGCCGUGGACCGCUUGGAGCACCAGCAGCCUCAUCACCAACCACCACUGUACGUACUAACGAUUCACCCUUCUCUACAAUACUAUAUUAUAUUAUUAAUAAGGGUAAACUUCAAAUACCAACCCAGUAGUUUUGCACUUUCUCACCUUAUUAGCAUAUGCUUUAAAGUGUAUCAAGUUAGUAUCCUGUAAUUUUAUUUUUAUCUUUUCGUCAGCUUCUCCGUUAAUAUUUCGUUAAAUUAUAUACAAAAAUCUUCAGAUACCCCACCAAGAUUUAUCGAAUAUUUACUUUAGUACCCUUUAGUUUUAACUUUGUCACUGAUUUAACAAAAAAAAUUAGGAGAAUCGACAAUAAAAAGAUAAAAAUAAAACCAUAAGGCACUAAAUUGAUACACUUUGAACCACAUGGUACUAAAGUAAGAAAGUCUGAAACCACGGGGGUGGUAUUUGAAGUUUUUCCUAUUAUUAAUAAGAGUUGAAAUUUGGAAUUUAUGAUAUAAUAAUAGUGUUUAGAAUUUAAUAAUAGUAUUUUAGAUUUAGUUUUUAAUGAUUAGAGUGUAUAUAUAUAUAUAUAUAUAUAUAUAUAUAUAUAUAUAUAUAUAUAUAUAUAAAAUAAUUUUAAAAUUAUCCAUUCAUAUGAUUUAAUAAUAAAAAGGUUUGUAAUUUUUGAUUUAAUUAAGUCACUUAGGAUAGGUUUUUUAGUUAGCAGACGCGAAGUAGUAAAAAGGAAACUAAACAGAUAAAAUUAAGGUCACUAAAAUAAUUAAAGAAAACUAUAAAAAUACAAAUAUGAAAUGAACACAUAGUAGUAUAAAUCAAAGCUAUAAUAAAGAGCUAUUAAACUAUAUCUAAAAUGAUGUAAAAAUAUAAAAAUAAACCUGACAAAAUGGUAUCAAACUGUUACAUCCGUAACUAAGUAAACAAAAUGAAAAUAUACUAAAUAAACAAAAUGAAAUGAAGGCGUAGUAAAAUAGUAAAAAUAAAGAUAUAUUAAAAUAAUUAAAUUAAACUAGAAAAAUACUAAUAAUAAGCGCAUAAUAUCUUUGCCAUGACAAAUAUUACAACAAUUGAAUCAGCGGGAUUGGCAAAAUAGAUAUUUUAGCCAAAUUUUGAAUAGAAUAUUAGAAAUAUGGACGAUUUUUAUAAUUUUACUAAAUUUGAAGACUAUCUUUGAUAUUGAUCAUUUUUAAAAAGUUUUUAUAUAAUUAGGGAUGGGAGUAACGCCACUUAUCUUAAAAAUUAAAAAUGCUUUUAUCCUCAAACUAUGAGACGCUUGACACUUCAGCCCUCAAAUUUAUAUUUAUUAUUAUAAUUUCUGGUUCAAAAUUUCUAAAUUGUUUCAAUUGAGUCUGAUAAUAUUUUUUUUUUGACUAAAUAUUGAUAAAUUGCUGACAAAAUGUCGACGAAUUAUUGUUGUAUCAUCAAUCCCGACAUUAUUAUAUCACUUCUAUAUUAGUUUAUCAACAUUUCGUAAAAAAAGGACUGCGGUACUUAAUUUUACGAUUCAAAAAGUUUGAACUAGAAAUUACAAUGAGUUAAAGUUUUAGAAUUAAAAUGUUAAGUAUCCCAUAAUUUGAAAACCAAAAGUGUAAUGUACUCAGAUGAUAAAUAAUAUUUUUCUAAGAGAAAAUUAGCACGCUACCCGCUUUAUUUAUUUCGUUUAAAAAUAAAUUUAGUUGAAAAUAUUAGGACUUUGUUUAAAUCUUUUUAAACUACUAAACUGAAAUAUAAUAAUGAUCAUUAAUUUUAUAUUAAAAAUUGUUAAUCUAAAGAUAACAACAAUUAAUAACUCUAAUUAUUUAAUUAUUAUUUAAAAUUAAUAUAUAAUUUUAUAAUUUUUAAUCUAAUGUAUAUUAGAUUACCAAAAAUUCAGAUUUAUUUGGUUUAUUUACUCUGCCCAGUUCUUAAAUUAUAGAAUCGAAUAGAACCAAAUUAUAGGGAAAAUCAGGGCUAAUUAAACUUAUUAAUUUGGGUGGGUUUGAUUCGGUGACUCAAUUUGGACCCACUAAUGCUCACCUGUAGGCCUUUCGUUGGCUAGAGCACAUGAAGGGGUUGGUACCGACCAGGUCCCGGAGACUUCGAAUUGCCUACGGAUAUUAAACCGAAAUAAUAAUAAUAAAUUAAUAAUAAUAAGGACGAGACACUCAUUGAGGUUUUUGGAGUGUACGAUGGAGAGGAGACCUUCGUAUCCGACCUAAUCUCCCACAUGCCCCAUGCCAUUUAUUUUCGAAAGCGACGUAUACAUAAUUAUUGCACAUUAUUGAAGAUUUAGGUUUAGUGGCCACAGUGCCAAGUUAUAUUAUUUGAAGAAUUAAAUUGCCUUCGCGGCUCUGUUUCAUCAUCAUUAAUUAGGCAAUUUAAUCGUAGCAUUGUAGCGCGAGAAAAAUAUUAGCAAAUUAUACAGGAACCAAGUUUGUCACGUAGAGUAGUUUUUCAUUUUUUUUUUUUUUUUCUUUCUAAGUAGAGAGUUUACCGUAUUCUUUUUGAACAUUAUACAUAUAUAUAAUUUAAUAGUGCUCAGGUACAAUACUAUAAAUAGUACCAAACACUUUAUACUAUCUAGUUUUCUGCCGUUAGAUUAGUAUGGUUUACCGUAUUCUUUUUGAACAUUAUACAUAUAUAUAAUUUAAUAGUGCUCAGGUACAAUACUAUAAAUAGUACCAAACACUUUAUACUAUCUAGUUUUCUGCCGUUAGAUUUACUCUUUUGACCAUUUUCAUCCGUUAAACCAUACUAUUCUAUCAACCCCCAUUCAAUUCUAAGGUAACAGCACCAUCCUAACCGCACACUAUUUCAUUUACGGGUGAAAACUUAAUAGCACCAGUGACUUAGAUGCUAUUAACAGUAUUCUAGUCUAGUUCAUAAUUAACAAUUAUACUAAGUAAAUUAUCGUGCUCUCUUGAAAGAAAAAAAAAGUUUCAAUAUAAAAUAAUCGAGAGUUUUCUUCGUCUUCACUACACAAAAUUUUAGUUUUGUGGGGGCGUGGAGCCCCGCAAAUAUUAAAUCAGAAAUCAUUCUAAUUUUGUGAUCAUAUGUGCUAAAUAAGGCGUUUCAGUUUUUAGUGUUGAAACUAGUUCUAGAAAUUCUGACAAAGGCGAAGAAAAUGUUGUCUCCAUUAUUUUUUUAUUUUUUGGUUUAACCCUGAUCAAUAGAAAAUAAAGGAUUGCAGAGUAGUGCACAGGAUCUUAUAAGCUCGUGUUGUCUUAAGCUUGCUAAUCUUUUUGGCUCUAUCUAAAACGACGAAAUCAGGAAAAGAUCCAUCCCAUCAAUCAUGCAUUUUAGCAGUCUCAUUGUGCUGUCCGAGACAUAAACAUUUGGUUUAUAACUUAUUAAUUGACAGGGACCCAAAAAAGAUACCAAAUUAGAAACGCCCACCUUGGUAUAUCAUUGUCAAUUCUAGGGUUUACACAAAACUCCAAAAAGUGUGAGGUGAGCUUAGAAUGCUGUUGUGAUCUUCCACUUAAUUAAUCAGAUGCCACCUAUGAUGUUUGAAAUAGUUAAACUAGUUGUUCGUGUUCUAUCAAUUAUAUUUUACAGUAAAUUACAUAGCAUUUUGCAAUUUAAUUCAAAAGGAAUAAAUUGAUGUGUAUGUUUUUGAACCAUCACCAAAUUGAGUCGCGGAGAGUGGUCCCAGAGAGAGCAAAAUUGGACUAAACUACUAAGACUCUUUAAUGGCCAAAAAAGAAUUAAAAAAUGUGAAGCUACUUUCGGAAAUAGUUAUCUUUUCACACAAAUUAUCAGCCAUGCCUAAGAUUUUCUGUUUUUUCUUUUUUUAAAAUGAAACAUACCAUGUGGCUUUUACAACAUAAAAAACUUACAAAUCUGACUCAAUCCAAGAUCUGACUCAAUCCAAGAUACGACGAAAGAUAUCUAAUCACCUUACCCUAUUUCCACCAUGGAAAUCCGAUCUUUACUUAUUUUUGUGUUUUAAUUUGUAGUCUUUAUUAUUUAGCUUUAACGUAGUAGAUAUUUGGUCGCGUUGGUGUCAACAAUAUUUUUAACGAUAAAAAAAUAUUAAAACAAAUAAUAAAAAAUAUAUAUAAUUAUAAAAAAACAUGGUAGACGGGCAUAAAAAUUAAAAAUCGAAUAAAGGAGGGGAAUGAGACAAUUGUUAUCCAUGUUAAAUAGUUACGAAUUAUUUUUUACACUUCUGCCAGAUUAUUAUUUUAUUCGCAUGAUAUUGACUACUACGAGGUUACAGUUUUUAAAAUAAUUUUUCAGGUAUUCCACAUGGCAUCGAACGGCCACGUCAGGUGACGGAUGUGAAACAACCGUUGUACUCUAAAAGCUUAAACUGUUAGGGAACGGUGGUGUUUAAAUAUUUUUAAACAUUUUUAUAUUUAACACUCCCUCUCACGUAUGGGCUCGAGACUUUUUAGUCGGCCCAUGACGUGAGCUUGAAUUAAAUGGGAGGAAAUUAAUAUGCUAGGAGUCUGGCGUGACUCGAACUCAGGACCUCCUGCUCUAAUACCAUGUGAAACAACCGUUGUACUCUAAAAAUUUAAGCUGUUAUAGAACGGUGUUUAAACACUUUUAUAUUUAACAGCGACCCACGGUAAUAGACAAUUCCAUGAUAAGGCCUUAGAAUUUAUUGUUAAGAAAAUGCUAAUGGUACAUUCUUCUCAGAGUAUAAAUUUUAUAUUUAAGUGUUGAUAAUUUUUUUAAUUUUAGAUUUUAAAAAAUAGUAGAUAAGUAUGUAAAUAUCUUCCCUAAUAAAAGAUCUGUGAGAGGGUAAUUUACAUUCUUAUAUAGAAUGUAUGAUCGCGCUUAAUUAUUAUUUGGCUCGACAAAAUCGGCAUAAAAUAUAGCAUCCUAUCUUCCACGAAACAGCUUAUAUAUAUGGGUUGUCAUAUUUAUGCCAUUUUAUUCUCCUUAGGGCCCCCAAUUUAAUUAAUAAUAACUAACAAAUAAUUAAUAAAAUAAAAUGAUAAUUCAUACUAGAGGGCAAAUAUACAUUUCAAUUACACCUACUGAGUACCUAAAAUAUCUCUUGGAUCAUGCAACAAUAGGGGCCUACGAUAAGAGGCCAAUAUUGUCUUUGGAUUCAAUAGUCCAAGAUUUGAAUUUAAGGGCUAAGAAAUCAUUAGCAUCAAGAUCUUGGUAUCAUUGAUGGUAUCUAACUCAAUAUAUUAUAGAGUCGGACUAAUAUAAUAUAUAAUUAAAAGAAAUGUAGCAUUUUACCACCUCUAUUUUUUUAAGUGAACUACGGUAAAAAUGUGAAAAUAUUAAAUUUUGAACCUGAAACAUCCAUACCAGUCUGAUCUUUUCGUCACUUACUUACAUCAAGGAGAGACUGUCUCUCUCUCUAACACUUGGUGCUAUCGAUAGUAUUCCAGUCGGACUCUCUCUCUCUCUCUAUAUAUAUAUAUAUACACACACACUAAUAGGUUAGAAACAUAAAUUACACUUGUUCCUUUCUUAUAAUAAGUUCUUAAACCCCUAAUUUGCCUGAAGAUUAUCGGCUAAAUUACAAAAAAACUACUAUAAAUACCACUUUUCACUUUUCUUCAUGAUUUUUAAAAAUUUAUAUUUUGCCCUAUUAAAAUUUCAAAAAUAUUUUUAAAUGGGUACAACGUUAAUGUAGCAGGCAAAAUAAUCAAAUUAUUCUUACUUCUUCUAUUAAAAAAAUAAUAUUUUAAUAUAUUUUGAAGGACAUUUUAGGUAUAAAUUAUAAAAAAUUAAUGAAAUAAUAAUGAAACUGUGGCGGAGACAAACUCAAUAAUUUGAAAUAUUGAUGGGGUAAAAAUAUAUAAGUUUUUUAAAAAUUAGAGAAAAAAAAUAAAAAAAAAUAUUUAUAAGCUAGUUUUCUGUAAUUUAGCCAAGCUUUUAGUUCUACCACAAAUGAGACAAUUAGAGAGGAUGUUAAUGAAAAACUAAUUAGUAUUUCUUCAAGUGGAUUUACUUAAUAAUAUGUUGCUAUUUAUCAAAACCAUAUAUAUAUAUAUAUAUAGAGAGAGAGAGAGAGAGUUAGGCUCCUAUGCUUUUGAAAGUACGGGAGCUUCCGUACUUGUAAGUUGUUUUCAAUAAUGGGACAUCCGAUUCGGCGAUCGGUUCCGUUAGAUAUGAUUUACGCUGUUGGAGCUACCUAGAAACCAAAUUUCAUAAUUUUUUGAUUUCGUUUGUCUAAUAAACGAGUAGUCUCAAAAUGAAUACGAGCCUAACUCUAUAUGAGUAAGUCUUCUGUACUUUCGAAAGUACGGAGACCUCAGUGCUUGUAAGUUGUUUUCGAUGAUAAGAAAUCCAAGUCGACGAUCGGCUCCAUUAAAUAUAAUUUAUCCUAUUUGAACUAUUUCGAAACCAAAUUUUAUAAUUUUUUGAUAUCAUUUACCAAGCGAUCAAAAGGUUUCAAAAAUGACUAUUUUAAUGAUCGAUGUAGCACGUUUUUAAGUUUAACGGUAUAGAAGUAUUCAAAUUAGAUGAAAAUUUAAUAGAAAAUUCUACUUAACAUCAAUAGUAAGACCAAUACUUCCGAUUUAAAACUUACAAGUACGGAAGCUCCCGUACGCUCGAAAGCAUAGGAGUCUACCUCUCUCUCUCUCUCUCUCUAUAUAUAUAUAUUGUAAUUAGAGGAGAACCGGUAAAGAGUUUGAUGGUUGGUACAUUCGAAAUUUCAAGAUGGAAAUCUAGUUAUUUCACAUUUUAAGCUAAAUUUAUUUUUUUUAAAAAUAAAGAAAUAAUUUUUUCUCAAAAUAAUAAUAAUUAUAAUAUGGCCCUGACACAUCGGUUAGCUAGAUAAAUUUUAAAAUUGGAAGAAGCGAAUCCCAAUCAUAUCUUAAUUGACCUGCUACUGUUUUACCUGUUAUCUCUAUCAAACAAGUGAACAACAAGUACUGCUUACGGACACUUCCAUCGGGGGGAAAAAAUAAAACAAAAAAACAAAAUAGAAAAACUAGAAGUGUCAAACAUGUACAGUACUUCAACUAAAGCUGAUUGGAUAGUAGGAUUGAUUAUAAUUAUUAUGUGCUUAGAAUUUAACAUAGGAUUCUGAUUGUUGAACUGCGUAAGUUGUGCAUGUGAUGUACCGUGCACCCACCCAGAUAGGAGGGUGGAAGGUAAUAAUUAGUGGAAUACAUUCUCUUAUUAGCGAAAGUCCUGUACGGUGAUGUAGAUAAUUUGCGUGAUUUAAAGAAAAAUUAAAAUUAAUGCAGCAAAUUUAAAUUUAAAAUUUGAAAUUUAAAAUUUAAAGUGAGGUAGGUAGAAGAGAGAGAGAGAGAGAGAGAGAGAGCGAGAGAGCUGACCUGGGGGAAGGGGAGGACGACGAAGAGGUCGAACCAGAAGCCGGUGGGGGAGCGGAGGUAGUGCGCGGCGAUGGCGCGGGGGUCCCACACCAGCUUGCCGCACCCGACGACCAGCGACUCCCGCGACACGUACGCGAGCCGCAGCUGCACCCACACGUGCACCACGUGCGCCGCGUCCGCCAGCGUCCGCACCGCCGCCGCCGCCGCCCCCAUCCCCUCGUCCACCCCCAGCCCCAACCCCAACCCUAACCCUAACCCUGACCCUGACCCUCCCCCGCACGAUCGCGCCCCCACGGCGUAGAAGAAGAGCGGGUCCGCCGCGAGCGCCGCGGCGCGCGCGAGGAGGAGGCCGCGGUUCCACCGCUGCACCCCGGGGCUCCGCGGGUCGAGCACCGACCCGAACACCCACCGCUCCCUCCCCGAUCGUCGAUCCCCCCCCGCCGCCGCCGCCGCCGCCGCCGCCCCGUCGCCGCCGGUGGCGUGGCUCUGGAUCGGGAUCAGCGACGAUCCGGCGCUCGCCUCCCACGCGGGCGCGUGCACGCGGUCGCACGUCGUCGAGUGGAACGCCGGCGCCCCCGGCUGCGUGCACGCGUAGCACUCCACCGCCGCCGCCGCCGCGGCCCCCUCGUCUCCGCCGCCGCCGCCGCUGGGGCGGCGGAGACUGGGGAUCCACCGCCUCACGAUCCGAGUCCACCUUAAAUAGAGAGAGGGGAUUUGAAAUUUGAAAAAAGAAAAGGGGAAUUGCGAUGCUGUGAGGUUACCAGAUCAAGCUUACCAGGGGGAAGUGGGCGAGGAGGCGGGGGCGGAGGCGGAGGAGGGGUCGGCGGCGGGGGAGCCAUUGGAGGCGGUGAGGGCACCGGAGGAGGGGGCGGAGGAGGAGAGCAUCUGGGCUCGGCCGAACGAGGGGUGAUCGCCGCCGAGGAGCGAGAGAUCGGACGACGAGGAGCUCAUCGCUCUCCUCUCUCUCUCCCUCUCUCUCUCUCUAUCUCUCUAGCUCUAGGAGGAGGAGGAGGAGGAGGAGGAGGGGUUUGGCUCUUGUCUCUUGGGGGAGAGGUGGAGCUAAUAAGCAGAGCAAGUGUUUUAAUAAAGGAAAAAAGGUGUGGUUCGGAGCCACAGCGGAUGAUACUGCGGGGUUCGGCUCCACGUCACCACAUGCCACGUGGCAGGGUGUGACAUGUACAUGUAGGUAACGAACGUGGCCUUGCGCUUCUUCUUAUUGCCGAGUUAUAUUACACACAUCGAUCUCCUCUCUCUCUCUCUCUCUCUCUCUCUCUCUCUUUCUCUCGAUCCUGUGUGGGGGAGAGAGCGAGAGAGAGAGUGAGUGGGGUGGUGAACCGUGAACGCAUGGAGAAGAUGGUCGAUGAUAAUUGAUGAGGACGGCGAAUUAUUUGUUUCUGUCAGAGGUUAAUUAUAACCUACCGGACAAAAAAUUCUAUUAUUAGUCCCCAUCCACUUUUACCACCCCUACAAAGAGAGAGAGAGAGAGAGAGAGAGAGAGAGAGAGAGAGGGAGGGGUUCUCUUGCUACAUUUGCUUUCAACAACAGUACUUUACUUUACCAACGGUCUCUUGUGUCUAUAGUGUAAAUGAUAAAGGGCUUAAUAAUUAGUACCCGAAUCUUCAAAUUUGAAUUCUAGUUGAUUUAUAUUUCUAAUUAGUAAAUAAACGAAGCGGAUAGAAUGCUACCUGUUGAGUCAAUUAGUCGCGAACAGGUAGUACACCGAUAUUCCAUCUAAAGAUGGCAAUCUUGCUGUACGCCGGGAGUAUUGGAACAGUUUUUAAGGAAUGAACCGCCGCGCAAAUUAAGGGAGCUUACGGUAACUGCAAGUAGUUGCAAGCGGUUCCGAUCGACUGAAAGUGGUUCGAAAAAUCAGGAAUAGUGACCGAUCAUGUAUAAGUAAUAACUGAUCACAAGGGGCGAUUUAUAAAUAGAUCAAUAACAUUCUAAAAGGGGUCUUUUCCUGUGAAUAAAAGACCGCCCUAAUUUUCUUGCAAUUUCUCGCAUUUUCUAGGAGUAAUCUACUUGUAAUUUUUACUUUCCUACAUUUACUGUUUUUUCCUAGGAGUAAGUCCUAAGUAGAUCAACCGAGUCUGUAUACCAUCCGGCACACUCAACCCUUGUACUUUUCCUCAAGCUUAAUUUCUAAGGCUUUCGACUCUUCACGCCGACUAACUGGUCUAUGUCUUUUCUAUUCGGUUCAUCUACCGAGUCAAAUCCAUAGCUGGCCCGUACAUUCGGCUCAUUCCAGACGAACCGAAUCUUGAAUAGAGCUUUCGAACUCGGUUGAUCCGAUCCCUCGUCAGCCGAAUCACUUGAUCCAGUCGAAGGGCGCAAACUUCGAGGGUCACUAUCCACAGCCGCUUUUCAUCCCAACACGCUCCCCGAGGAGAAUCUUUGACUAAGUCAAGGACCAGGGAAUUCGGCUCGCAACACUACCUUUCUCUCAAAAAAAAAGUUAUGCAGAAAAAGAUUACGGGCGAAUGAGUAUAAAACUUUAAUUACUAUGAAAAAAGAGAGUACCACGGGGGGCGGAGCCCCGUGCACACCCCGUUCUGUACCCCGGUACAGAUCCGGUCUGUACCCUAUCUGACAUCAGUGUAGGCUACGGAUUUGAAUCUAUUGGCUCAAGCCCUCCGUUACGUAUCAUAAACAUCCAUUUUUUUUGUUCACAUUUUUUUUUUGAGAGAAAGGUAGUGUCGACGAAUAAGGGACACAAAAUCGAAAUAGAUAACAAGAAUUUCGAGGCACAUAUGACAAGAUGCUUUACUUAGGCCCUGUUUGGAUGCACGGUAAAAAAAUUCCAUGGAGUUUAAAUACCAUAGUUUUGAUCCAAAUAAAAUGGGGAAUCCUGUAACUCCAAAAAAAUUCCACAGGAUUAUUUUAGAAGCUGUUUGGAUGCACAUUAUACAAUUCUACGGAAUUUCUGACAAUCUUAAAAAAAUAAGCUAUUAGGGACUUUAAAUUUAAAUUAUUAAUUAUUAACUGGUUUUAAAUUUUCAAAUUAGUAUAUUAAAGAUACCUAAAUAUUAAUUGUUAUUUCAAAUUUUAAAAAUUAUGACAUUAAACUACUAAUAAAUUUAUUCAAAUUUUGAAACACUAGCUGUUGGAAAGCUUUAUCUCCAAAACUAGCCGUUAGUAAACUAAAAAAUUCAAAUACUAGCCGUUAGAAAGCUCAAAAAUCAAAAAACUAGCCGUUAGAAAGCUCAAAAAUAAAAAAACUAGCCGUUGGAGAGCUCAAAAAUAACUAAACUAGCCGUUGGAGAGAAAUAUUAUUGUUUUUACACUAUUCAAAGUCUAUUUAAAAGGAACAAGUUCUUACAAUCACAUAACUAGUAAUUCCUACAUUUUCUUCUCUAUAUCUCUACAAUCACAAAGUAUGGAUAACAACAAUCUCGCACUUCUUCUUUUGAGGAGAAGGGAAGAAGAAGAAUUUGAGUUCAUAAACUUCAUUCAUCCAGUGGCAAAUGGUGAUGAAAUAUCAGAGAGGAGACGCACAUUAAUCAACGGUUCCCAAACUUCUGAUGGAGCAGAAACCAUUUUCUUGUCGGCAUCCCAACCAAAGCCACUCAUCUCUACUAAGUUCUUCACAGCUUUAAAUUGCUUCUUUAAUUGUUGCUCCUGAUCUUUUACUUGUUCUAAUGUAUAAUUUGAAUGAGAAAACUUAGUAAUCAUCGCCUUAUGUAUACUGCGCCAUCCCUCUUUAUUCCAUCCAUUUUGACCUCUCCAUUUAUCUUUAUUAUGUUCUUGCAAAAGUUCUACUAAAUAAGCUCUAUGCAUAUCCGUCCAUUUUGCCCGUGAUUGUUUUUUUGGAUCGUUUUCUGCGCAUGAGUACAUUAUAGAAAAAAGCAUAUAAAUUGAACUAUGCAUAAACAUGUAAUUUCCUACAAAACCUUUAAAACUAUGCAUGUAAAUUGAACUUUGCAUUUGAUAUCUCUGAGUUCAUUCUAUUAACACUAACAAAGCAAUUAUAUGUGCAAGUGUGCAAGUCCAAUACAAAGCAAGUGUGCAAGUCCAAUACAAAGCAACAUCUCCUCCUUUUUUUUUCAAGUUGUGUUUUGUAAGAUAAAGAGAGAGCCAUUUUUUUAAUUCCAUUUCCAUCUUAUAUUUGAGCAGAAUCAUGUACUCUUAUAAAAUGCAUAAGGAAAAGAUAAAAUUUAGAUGUUUCUGAAUGUAGUGAUUGAAAGUAGUUAAAAGAAAAAGAGAACAUUGUACGCAAAGAAGGCAUUUUUUAGUUUGACAUUCAUGUUUUGGAUUAAGCAAUUUAUAGUGUUUUCUGAAACAACUCAUCAGGGUAAUCACAGCAAUCAGAAGAAUGGGUCUACAAAGUGUGAUUAGUUAGCGCGACUCAUUUUGCUUGGCCACAUUCACAGCUAUGGACUCCUACAUAAUAAACUACUCAACAGAACACAAAAGGCUCAAUUUUUCUUUACCUAAUACCUUUUCAUUCCUCAAACCUAUCAAGUUUCAAAACAGUAUUUCCAAGCUAGCUAUUACCCACAUAAAUCCAUCGAAAGAAUAUAAAACGAGAGCGUAUAAUCAAACAAACAUAACAACAAGUAAGAAACAAACACCACAAACCAACAAGAAAUUAUAUUCCAACAACAAAAAAUUCAUCAAGAAUUAAUAUUUAAAUUAUAUUCCAACACCAACUCUCUAUGAAGUAAUAGCUUUAUCUACCUUAGCUACAAAUAGCAUACAUAAAUUGCUCUGCUUCUGCUGCUUAGGAAAGAAAUUAUUUCUCCCACAUGCCCCCCAUCUACUCCAUUUUUUUUUCUUUAAUUCUAAUCUUCACUAUUUCUAAAAAUAAAAUUUAGUUUAGAUGUUGCAACAAGUUAUCAUCAAAGAGUAGAAGCGCAAGAUUAGCCUUGAUCAAUAGAAAUAAUCACCAAAUGCAUCAACCAACCUAGCCUUUUGCUGGUAGAUCACCCUAGUUGAAGUGGCUCAAGCUGUGGAGGCCCAAGGAGCAUCAUAGGUUAUAAGCAAUUUUAAAAACUAUUAUUCAAGUUAACACUGAAAGCAAAAAUGGUUAAAUUAAUCAAAAGUGGGAACUUGAUAAACCAACAAGAAAGUCCUCACUGCCACAGAGAUUUAUGUUUGGUUUAAUGCCCUUCAACCAUGAGAAAGAGAGUACGCAAACAAAUUUUACUCUCUACUUCUUCACUACAUUAUCAUAUUACUCUUAAUUUUACCUUCAGAUUACUUUCACAAGUCCAAAACCCAAAAUUAAUUUCUUUCUUUACCUGUUGGAGGAGGAAAAGAGUGCUCCAGCCAUCGCAGGGUACGACCGUGGCCGGCGGUGGCGACCGUGGCCGAGAAGAGUGCGGCGCCUCUCUGGACAGCGGCGGCGACCGUGGCCAAGAUGAGUGCGGUGCCUCUCCGGACAGCGGCGGCGGCCGUGGCCGAGAUGAGUGCGGCGCCUCUCCGGACAGCGGCGGCGACCGUGGCCCAGAUGAGUACGGCGCCUCUCCGGACAGCGACGGCUACCGUGGCCGAGAUGAGUGCCGCGGACGAAGUGAGUGUUGCGGCGUCGGCGGCGGCCGAAGUGAGUGCGGCGGCGUCAGCGACGGCCGAAGUGAGUGCGGCGGAGGAGAGGGUGGGUUGUGGAGAGGGUGGGUGGUGGGUUGUGGAGAGGGUGGGUUGUGGAGAGGGUGGAGAUUAGAGAGAGGAGGGAGGCCCUGAGGAAGAGGGGGAAAAAAAGAGGUGGGCUGCGUGAGUGGAGGAGCCCGAAAAGUGGAGUUUUGGUUUUAGGAGAAAAUUUUAGAUUUUACUUUUACCCUACUUUUUGGGGUAUAGUUUAACUAUACCUUAAUUAGUUGGUAUUUUUUUAAACCAUCCAAACACUUGUUAGGAAAUUUUUCCUACACCCAUAGUAUAGUUAUACUAUACUCUAAAAAAGUGACCAUCCAAACAGGCCCUUAUACUUUAAUGCAACACGAAAUAAAUUCCUCUUGUUUAUGCUUUUUUCUGUUACAUAAAUUGAUCUAAUAGAAAAAUGGCUAAAACACUCCAAGGAUAACUCUAAUAUCAAAGAUCAAGAUGUUAUAAAACAUUGUAGCAAGGGUCUUACUACUUUCUAAACUGUAUUAUUUCAAUUCGUUCAAAUAUUAACCACACUUAUAUCUUAAAAUAAGUAACCUAAAUUCUAUUACUAAGCCAAAAUCCUUUGUCUUAGUGCUUUUAGUUUUCACCAAUCCUCAGCUAAUACUUGUAUCUACACAUUCUCAUUAGACUCAAAUCAUUCAAGCACUUAGAGUUGCUCACCAUGCAUGUGAUGCUGGUGUUUAACACAUUUCUUAAAUGGUUUGUUUUACAGAUCCCUGCAGUUGCAAGGACUCUACCAUUUCCUAGAGUUUGUAACUCAGUGGUCCUUUUUCUCCUUUUUUUUUUUUCUCCCCUAUCCGUAGACUCUUUUACCCUAAAAUACCUCCUUAUUAAGUACUUAUAUAUUAAUUCAAGGCUAGAGACACCGAUCCCAAAUUUUAGUUCAUACAAGAGAUCCAACUCCUCAUCUCAUGAUUUGCUCCUGCAUGUGUGUGUGUGUGUAUGUAUAUAGAAAGAAAGAGAGAGAGAGAGAGAGAGAGAGAAUGAAAUGCUUCUAAUAAUUCUAAAUCAUUGUUAUAUAUAACCGACCGUCUCUGGAGCAAGUUGCUAAAGGUUUGGUGCUUGGUAUCCGAGAUCCAAGUUUGAAUCCUCGUUGAUUCACGUUUCUACCUAAGUUUAUUUCUGAAUGAAAUAAACGAAGCAGGUAGUGUGCUACCUAUCUCUCUCUCAAAAAAAAAAAAAAUCUUAUAUAUAGAGAGAGUCUGGAUACAAUACUAUUAAUAGCACGAAACAUUUGAUGCUACCAAAAUUUUCGCCUUUGACCAUUUUCAUUCUUAAAUCAUACUAUUUUACCAAUCAUCCACUAAAUUCUAGGAGGCUAUUAUUAUCCUAACUGUUUAUUUUUUCAUUUAAGGAUCAGAAACUUAAAAAAACUUGGUGCUAUUGAUAAUAUUCCAUUCUAAGAAGGCAACUCAUCAUUAGGGCACCAUAUAUAGUUCUUCCAAUUUGUAGCUCAUUGAUUUUCCCACACAUAAAAUCAAAGUCCAUCUUUCUUAGGCGGUGAUAUGUCACUGUUCAGUGAGAAAGGCACAUGAGAAGGAUUAGGCAUGGCCCCCAAUCAUAUGGUUUUGUAGUUGGAAAUAUAUAUAUAUAUAUAUAUAUAUAUAUAUAUAUAUAUAUAUAUAUAUAUCAAGAGAGAGAUUGCUCCCACUCUCGGCUGACGUCCCUGCAGGAGCCAGGAGGAUAGACAAGGCUGGUUCCGGGCGAUCGUCGGCGGAGUGGGGCCAAACGGUCUGGAAUUCAAUCUUGGGACUGAUGUUUUUAAUGUGCAUUGAAUGGAUCGCUCUGACGGGGCGAUGCGGGCGACGUUCUUCGAGCAAAAUGGAUUAGUUUUUCAAAUGCUUCGGGUUCGGUGCCUAUGGGGAUGCAAAGAUGAAGCAAUGCAUUGAUUAACUGUGCUGUGAACAAAGCGGACAGUCUUUGAUUUCGGAGGAUCUCGUCAUCCAUGCUCGAAACUGGGCAGUGGGUGGUCGUUUGCUUUCGGCCCGAAGCGGGCCCACUGAUCUCCCUAGGCACUCGGGCUCGGUACUGUUCCUGCAGGCCAGUCACGCCUAUUUGAGGGGUGGCAGGAGAUGCCCACUUGGACCGCGUUCAGAUGGCCAUCGGGUUUGAUAAGGGGCUCGGGGAGUGGUCUUAGUCUGCGGCCACGCAAGUCUCUGGGGGAAGGGGGUCAGACUCGGCCCGCACGAAGGCUGGUGUGGUGGUGACCGGCCUCUUCCGUGGCCCUCCACUUUUUUGCGGGGACGGCAGCAGAAGGUCCCACUUGGUCCGGGUGCAGCGCUCGGGACUGAGUUGGCUCGCUAUCGUACCUUGGCGGCGGAAUUGCAGAAUCGGCUCGGGACAUGGAGCGUGCAGAUGGGCCGUGACGGGAGUCGGACUUGCUAUGGUUUCUUUUCGGGGAGCCACGAACUAGCGCCGGGAGGUUGGGGCGACUUGGCCCGCGCGGAUUCGGCUUUUCUUCUUGUCUUUGGUGGGGGCCACGCUUCUCUGUUGCCUGACUUGGGGGAUUUGGCGGUUCUCUCUUGGUAGCUUGCUUCUUCGUUUCGGAUCUCCUCGGCCAUGCUUUUCGGCUCGGGACCCGAUCGCCCACCCUUACCCUCGGCCGUGGUUGGAGGGAGGCGGGAGCGCCUCUCGAACGGCGACGUUGGUCGUGUCCCGUCAAGAAGUGGGAAACCCCCCCUGGAGACCGAUCAGAUUUUGGGACUGUCAUUAUGGAAUCGGCUUGUUCGGGACUGCGCACAAGGGAGCCCUCUCCCAAACAACGGACGGAAAAGAUUUAAUCCGGCUCGCCUGCGGCCGGAGCUGAUCAACAGAACGAUGGUCGGAAGGUACUCUCAUUGCCCGAUAUCAGGGGCGUGUGUUCGCCGGUGGCAUAGUGGCGGGAUUACUUCUCUUGCCCCCAAUAUGUUCCCUUGACCGUCUGAGACGACUACUGAGGUCGGGUUUUCCUGUCUCGCUGCGGCGGGAGUGAUCAACGGAGCGAUGGUCGGGAAGUCGUGUGCCGCCGUGCGUUCGACCAGAGCUUGGUGAGGCUGAAAUCCGUGGGCAAUUGUAUCGGGCGCUUUUGGACGGGCCAACUGAGGAGGGCUUUCCUGCUGAAGGGAAGAUCAAUGGACCGAGCCCCUGCGUCGACUCUCAGAUCAUUAGAAAGUGUGAAGAAAGAUGCGCUUUGUGGAGUCAAGUUUCAGGGGGUGGAAGCCGAGGAGCUUCAAUCAAGUUCUCGGACGGGCGGGUUUGACCUGAGUGGGCCUUCUUUUGUGUUUUGGGCGGCCUUUUGGUUGUGUGUCGCUUUCUUAUGUUAAAAUUAUUACUUGGAUAUGAUACGUGGUCUGAACGACUCAUGUAGCGUACGUAGUGUUAGAGCUAUCAUCCCUAAACACGUUGGUUCGGUGAUUUGUAUCCAAGAAUCAAAAGUGGAUUCGGAUGUCCUCGUUACACUUUCUCGCGUCUUUGUUGUGGCUCGAGUUUCGACAGAUGUCACUUUAACCCGCUCGGGGGCAUGCGGGCGGUUUAUUCACUGUCUGGGAGCUACAAAAUUUUUUCGUUUGUAACGGAGGCGUUGGUGCGCGAUCACUCGCGUCACUCUGCGAGCUUUAAUCAUUAUUACUAGUGAUACGAGCUUUUACGCUUACGAAAUGUAUAUGGACCGCAUCGUGGGACUGGGAAAAGAAGAGUUCAUGCGCCGGAGCUCUCGCUAAUCGGUGCGGUGUGUUCACGGAUAUAAAUGGUUAUAUUGUGGGGAAUUUCAAGCUUUACUAGAACCAGGCUGAACGCACUGGGAACGGGGGAGCACUAAAGCGGAUGUCCAAUGGUUCUCGGACCUCAUUUCAAAUCUCGAAGUCAUACGGACUGCCCUUGUCCAACCAAAAUUUACUUGGUUCUAAUAUGCAACGCUCACCAACCCUGGCCAAACUGGACAGAUUUCUUGUCAUCGACAGAUUGGGGAUCAAGAGUUCCCGCUUCUGGGCAGGGAUUUCCAUACUACCUAGAACUUUACCCUCCGACCACACCCCUUAAUACCUCGAUAUCUGGAAGCUUGCGCACUAAGAAGGAUCAAUUUCGGUUGUGAGAAGAGUGUGGCUUCUAGCCGGACUUCAACCAAACUACGUACGCGAUCAUGGUUGGAACGAAGUACCCGGGCAGAGUCAGCGCAUUCUUACGCUGACAGAGCGAAGCUGAGACAUUGAAGAAACAGGAUGAAGGAAUGGUGCAAGACAAAAUUCCAUAGCAUAUCCAACGCAAUAAGAACUUUACCGCCAGGAAAACCAGAAGAAAUUCGAAACAUUUGAUCUCUCGGAGGAACGGAAUAUCUUGACCCAGGAAGUACGGGAUAAACGAGUUGAACUUAAAGCACAGCUCCAACUCCAUACUAAAAAGGAAGUGAAGAAAUACCUGUGGAGAAUCGAGAGCUAGAACAGCAACUGGCUAAAAGAAGGAGACACAACACAAAAGUUUUUCCAUGCAGUGGCCAAUGGGCGGAAGCGUUGUAAUGAAUCACUACCAUGAAGAAUGAGGACGGUAGACAAAUCCGUAACGAGGAGCAUAAAAAUCCUGUUCUUUUCAAUCCUUUAAACGCCUUUUCGGCCAGUGUGGAAGAUGAACCGCGCCUUCUUUCGGCGAAAUUGGGCGGACUUGUAUCGGAGCAGGACGCCUUAUGACUGCGACCCCCUUUACAUGCCCCUAUCACUUAGAUGAAAUUAAAAAGGCUACGAUAAUCCAUUCAACUCGGAGUGACAGAGGCGCCUUAGGCCCCGACGGCUCCCGCAUAUUUUUCUUUCAACAACUUCUGGAGACAGUAAAGGAUAAUAUUUUUGAUAUAGUUCAAAGACCCUACAUGGAGCUGGAUCUCUUUCACGAGGAACGGUCUGAACUACACGCAUGUAUGAUUUAAUCCCCAAAGGAAGGAGCUCGCAUGGUUAACCCGACUUCAAGACCGAUUUGCCCUCCUGAACAGGAAGCAAAGAUUAUUUCUAAAAGAUUUCUUGCAACAGACUUGCAGGGGUCUUAACCAUCAGAUAAUACUCUAACGUACCCAUCGCGUUCUUGGAAAAUCGGCCUAUUAGCGGACGUCUUUCGGCGCACUGCGAACACGAAUUCCUCACUGGUGUGGCAAAAACUAAUAGGAGUGUGUCUCAGUAUUAAGGUGGAUUUCGAGAAAGCGUAUGACAAAGUCAGCUGGAGGUUCUUGGCAAAGUAAUUACGUUUGGCUUGGUUUAGCGACAAAUGGUGGAACUGGAUCGAACAAUGUAUCUGUAACGCCUAAAGUUGCAAUUGUUAGUAAACGGUCUCGCCGCUAACUGGAUGAUAAAAUAGAGGGGACUCGGACAGGGACCACACUGUCCCUNNNNNNNNNNNNNNNNNNNNNNNNNGUAACUUCAAUAUUAUCUUUGAUGUAAGGUAAAUGAUUCAAAAAUUACGAAAUUUGAUUUCAAAAAUUUUAAUAUGUUCUAAUCAUGUUUAACGAUAGUGAUCGUUGAUUUAAAAAUUGUAUCUUUAAAAAUGACUUAUGGAGUACAAAAACGAUCUAUACUCAUAAGAGUAAAGUAGCUGGAUCUAUUAUACAUAUAUAUCAUUAGCAAAACCACUAUAUAUUUAUGUGGGACAUAUAUCUAGUAUAUUUUUAAGCAAUGUCCUAACCAAAUCUACUGAUAUUUUAUAAUCUAAACACAUCAAAAUAAUAAUAAUAAUAAUAAUAAUUAAUUAUCAAGGCAACAAAAUUAAUAGUUUCAAAAAUCUAACGAUACAAAAAAAGUAUAUUGUCUAAAUGAAAAAUUAUUCACAAGUGUUUUUUAGAUUCUCGAAUUAGAUAAAAGUGAUAAACACAGGGUACUAACUUGAUACAUUUUAAACCACAGGAACUAAAAUAAAAAAAAGUAAACCACAAGGGGGGUUUUUGAAGUUUUCGCCUUUUUGAUAUGUAUAUAUACAGAGAGAGAGAGAGGUCAUUAAAUUCCCGAACUGGUGCCGUGUACAUAUCGGAACUAUACAAACCUUGUUUUUCCAUCUAUAUACUUCAAUCCUAUAAUCUCUCACUUUAUUCUGCAAAAUGAUUUAAUGGCGGAUGAUGGAGAUUGAAAUAUGAUAAAUAUUAAUUACCAUGCAGGUAAGAGUUUGAUAAAUUUUCUUGUAUCCAAUUUGCAAAAUGAUUUUUGAUCUCUAUUCCCUUUUAUGUUGUUGUAGUUGUGAAUAAGGGUACGCUUAAUCAAAAAGCAAACAACAACACAGAGGCAAAGCAUCAAAGAAAAAUACUCUAAGAUAAACUAAAUUAAUUAAUAAUAAAAAAAGAACAGUAAGUUUCUGCAAUAAUACAGGUAGUAUCCUAAGGUGACUGAAACAAAACAAGCUUUAAUUUUUGUACUGAAAUAAUCAAAGACCGAAGUAUAAACCAUGUCUACACAUUGUUUGUCUCAUUAAUCUAUAUGUAUACUAUUUCCUUCUAGCUUCGGAUUCCUCUCUCUCUCUCUCUCUCUCUCUCUCUCUCUCUCUUCCUUGUGUUUGUAUUUGUGUCCAAGAGGCCAAGGACUCUGUGCAAAGAUGUUAAUAGCACCAAUUUGUCUUCAAUUAUUAAUUAUAUAUAUAGAGAAGUGCAGGAUCAAAACAAAACUUUAAUUAAUAAAAAUAAUUAUUAACAUGCCUUUCACCUGACCUACUGUUCCUAGCGCAAGUGGCAAAAAGGCUUCGGUGAUUGGUACCCGAGGGCGCAAGUUCGAAUCCUAAUUAUUCACAAUUCUAGGCUAAAUUAUAUUUUAAAUGAAUAAACAGAAGCAAGUAGCAUACAUCUUCUCUCAAAAAAAAGAAGAAAAAUCGUGCCUUUCACGGGCUGAGUCAAAUUCUUACACAUAAUUAAGAGCAUUCGAAAUCGGAAACAUAGGAGAAAUUAUUACCACAUCCCAGUAUAUAGCAUCAAUUAAGUAGCUAGUUCUAAAAAAUCAACCCCGGAGAAAUAACUGUUAUUAAUUAAGUUAUUAGGAAUUAGUAUCAGAAUUAUAAUAUUUUAUCAUGCAUGUAUGCUUUUGUAAAAAUAUAAACAAGAUUUAAACACAUGUUCUUUAUCAGCUUAAGUUUUUUAGAGUAUAACGAUAUUUAUUAUAUUAUUUAAUACUUUUUAUAGUGGCCAAAAUACAUUCACCAAACUUAAAUUUUGAUUUUAAGAACCCUAUUUUAAGACUUAAAGCUACGGUGUAGAAAUAUACUUAUACACCAGGCACGAAAUGAUUUAUAAUAAAUUAGAGUCAAGCCACAACAAUAUUUAACAAAUAUCUCUUGAAUAAUUUGAAGAAAAUAAAUAAGAUCAUAGAUACACUGGCCCAUGGGCCCAUUAAUAUUUUGGUCUCUAAUGGAGUUAAUAAAAAAUCAAACAAAUAAAUACAACCCAAGCAAAUAUUAAGCAAUCCACUUGCCAUAUAUAUCAAGAAUGCCAAAUGUCCAACCAUGGGGGAAUUGGACUCAUGCCUAAACCUUAUAAUUUCAUACUUAUUCAUUUUAGUGGCUGACUGUCUCGCUAGGGUCACGAAAGCAGCAAGGACUAAUAGUUUACUUCAGGGAAUAGGACCCUCAGACGAGUGUCAAACUGUAAUUCUGCAGUAUGCGGACGACACUUUAUUCUUUUCAAAGCCUAAGAAGUCUGCUAUGCGUAAUCUACUCUUCAUCUGGAAGAUGUUUGAAUGGGCUUCGGGUCUUAAGAUAAAUAUGAACAAGACGGAACUUUACCACAUGGGAAUUACCGCAAACAGAGCGAAACGAUAUGCAGAUAUUUUGGGAUGCAGAGUCGGCAGCCUACCGUUCCGAUAUUUGGGUCUUCCGCUACAUAUCAACCCCCUCCGUAAGGAAGAGUGGUCGCCGAUCAUCAACCGCAUUGAGACGCGCAUCGACGGAUGGAAGGCUAAACUCCUCUCGCAAGGGGGGAGACUCAUCUUGGUCAACUCGGUACUUUCGAAUCUUCCGUUAUUUUACUUUGCAAUCUUCAAAGUACCACAAUGGGUGUUGAAGCGAAUUGAAGCGCUUAGAAGAUCCUUCUUCUGGAAAGGAUGUUCCAAUAUUUCGGGAGGCUCAUGCCUUGUUGGUUGGAAAACGAUGUGUAGAAGCAAAAAAGAAGGAGGUCUAGGGAUAAAAGAUAUGGAAGCUAUGAAUAAGGCGCUUUUAGCAAAAUGGUGGUGGCGUUUCUUUAACGAGAAAAGCCUGUUAUGGGGGAGGCUAAUCACUGCAUUAUAUUACACCAGAAGAAGGCCGUUACGCGAAGGCAGAUCCUUUAGACCUUACUCAGAAUGGUGGAGAAGUGUAAUGAGCUGUCGAGACGUGUUCAAAUGUGGUGUUUCGUAUGCUCUUGGCAAUGGAAAAAAUAUCAGGUGGUGGUCGGAUAUUUGGAUCGAUGAAACCCCUCUUAGUACCCGAUUCCCACGAAUCUUUAGCAGUAUCACAAAUCAGGAAGCCACGGUUGCACAAUGUUGGAAUGAAAGAGGAUGGAGAUGGCGCUUCUUAACCAGAGGUUUUGAUACUCAUACCAGUGGUCAGAAUAGCCAACAGAAGGCGCUGCUCAAAAACCUCCUCUCUCACUUUAGCCCGUCAAACUCAGAGGAUAUACUAAAGUGGCGAUGGACCGCCAAUCAAAUUUUUACCGUCAAAUCACUUUAUGAAUUCAUUACCGACGGAGGACAGAUUGAUACUUUGUACGAUCAUCUAUGGGGGUUAAAAAUUCCGCUCAAACAUAAAGUUUUCAUUUGGAUUCUACUUCGAAAGAGAUUACCUACGGCAGACAGACUGCUGCGCCGAGGGUGCAUCGUGGAUCAGCACUGUAGGUUCUGUGUGUUACUAGCCGAAACAGGUGACCACCUAUUCCACGAUUGUAUCGUGGUCAGAUUUCUUCGUUUUAAAGUAGGAGCCUUCGAGGAGGAGAUUUCGGAUGUGGGGGAUGCACGCCAGCUGUGGACACAGUUCUCGGAUAUCCCCGUGGCCGUUACAAGAUCAAAAUUGUUAACCAAGCUGGCGGCAAUUUGGUGGGUUGUUUGGACGGAGCGCAAUGGCAUUUGUUUCCGCGAGGUGCCCUUUAACGUGUCUACGGCUCUCGAACGGGUCGCCGUGUUGAUCGAAGCCUGGAACGAAACACUUUGAAUCUCUCCCGACCUCGGUGCUUAACCCUCUGGUCACCUUCUGUUUAUUUUGGAUUGUUGGUGUUUACUGGGUUUCUUGGACCUGGUUUUUGUUUCUCUUGUUUUUACUUUUAUUUUCUUUCUCUUGUUCCCUCGGUCAGGAAGCCUUAGCUGCUUCCAAGUUGUAAGCUAAAUUCAUUUCGCUUAAUGAAUGAAGCAGGUAGCUUGCUACCUAUUUCUCAAAAAAAAUAAAAACGCAUGACAACUAGUGCAGUGCAAAAUCGUAAAGCCAUAUAUAUGAUGUUAAAGUAAAAAAUAUACUGAAUCACAAUAUAGAAACUAUUUGAGAGAAACAAUACAAGUUCAAACAACUUUAAUUACUCUCAAAAUAUUAAUGGUAGCCACUUUUUUUCCCUUCUUAUUAAUUGCUAUGUUUUCUCUUAAUAUAAGUACAGGUAACACUUAAUUUUCUAUUCCCAAACAGAAAGGAAAAAAAUUGCUUCUUAUCUCAUCAUUUUGUACGUGCCAAGGCAUAAUUUUUCUCCAGAGAUUCAUCAAAAUUUGCGAGAGGAAAAGAAAGAGAUAAUAACAUAGUACUUUAAUAAAUUAAAUGCCACUAAAAUACUACUUUAAUUUCCAACAAUAUAUAUAGGUUGUGGUGCCUUUUCAACAUGGACUCAUCAAUAGAAAAUUGUCGUAUAUAUUUGGGUACAAGAAUCGUGUACGUAUGUGGAGACUAAAAUACUCUCACAUCUCCUUACAAAAAAAAAAUGGAGAAAAGCUUUGAGAAUUAUGACACGGAAUUUUUCUAUUUUUAGAUGCUAAGAUUCACACGAUUUGACCCCUCUUUUGGCUCUGAAUAAUGAGCCAAAUAAUGGUGGUGGGGAAGGAUUUUCAAGUCAUUCACCAAAAUUAUUCAAUCAUCAAAAUAAGGGAGGAUCUAAAAAAAAAAAAGAUAAAUACGCAUAAAAUUUGUCCGAACUAUGAUCCAUUUUGAUUCAUCUAUGUAUUUUAUAUUAUAAUAUUUUACUUUUGCUAUUAUUAUAGUAUUUUACUUUUGGGACUUAAUAUUUCAAUUCCUUUCGUUUAAUUAAGUUGUUCACCAGCUCUUUUGUUUUAAACAUUUAUUUCAAUAGGAGAGUAGCUACAUCAAGCCUUUUUAACGGUGCAGAGAAAUUUUAAAAUAGAAGAGCUAUCAAAUGACUCAAUGUAAAGAGAUUAAAAAGAUAAAUAGCAAAAUCAAAAGGUUUAAAAGUCGGAUGGUCGAAUCAAAAUGAAUUGUAGAUUACAUUUGUUGGAUACANAUACUUAAUAGUUAUCUUUUGAUUGUAAGGUAAAUGAUGUCAAAAAAUUACGAAAUUUGAUUUUCAAAAAUUUUAAAUGUUCUAAAUCAUGUUUAACGAUAUUGAUCGUUGAUUUAAAAAUUGUAUCUUUAAAAAUGACUUAUGAGUACAAAAACGAUCAUACUCAUAAGAGUAAAGUAGCUGGACUCUAUAUAUACAUAUAUCAUUAGCAGAAACCACUAUAUAUUUAUGUUGGGACAUAUAUCUAGUAUAUUUUUUUAAGCAAUGUCCUAACCAAAUCUACUUGAUAUUUAUAAUCUAUAACACUAUCAAAAUAAUAAUAAUAAUAAUAAUAAUUAAUUAUCAAGGCAACAAAUUAAUAGUUUCAAAAAUCAACGAUACAAAAAAGUAUAUUGUCUAAAUGAAAAAUUAGUUCACAAGUGUUUUUAGAUUUCUCGAAUUAGAUAAAGUGAUAAACCACAGGGUACUAACUUGAUACAUUUUAAACCACAGGAUACUAAAAUAAAAAAAAGUGAAACCACAAGGGGGGUUUUUGAAGUUUUCCCUUUUUGAUAUGUAUAUAUACAGAGAGAGAGAGAGGUCAUUACAUUCCCCAACCUGGUGCGCGUACAUAUCGGAACUAUACAAACCUUGUUUUCCAUCUUAUACUUCAAUCCUAUAAUCUCUCACUUUUAUUCUAGCAAAAUGAUUUAAUGGCGGAUGAUGGAGAUUGAAAUAUGAUAAUAUUAAUUACCAUGCAGGUAAGAGUUGAUAAAUUUCUUGUAUUCCAAUUUGCAAAAUGAUUUUUUGAUCUCUUAUCCCUUUUAUGUUGUUGUAGUUGUGAAUAAGGGUACGCUUAAUCAAAAAGCACAACAACAACACAGAGGCAAAGCAAUCAAAAGAAAAAUUACUCUAAGAUAACAAAUUAAUAAUAAUAAUAAAAAAGAACAGUAAGUUUCUGCAAUAAACAGGUAGUAUCCUAAGGUGACUGAAACAAAACAAGCUUUAAUUUUUUGUACUGAAAUAAUUCAAAGACCAAGUAUAAACCAUGUUCUACACAUUGUUUGUCUCAUUAAUCUAUAUGUAUACUAUUUCCUUCUAGCUUCGGAUUCUCUCUCUCUCUCUCUCUCUCUCUCUCUCUCUCUCUCUUCCUUGUGUUUGUAUUUGUGGUCCAAGAGGCCAAGGACUCUGUGCAAAGAUGUUAAUAGCACCAAUUUGUCUUCAAUUAUUAAUUAUAUAUAAGAGAAGUGCAGGAUCAUAACAAAACUUUAAUUAAUAAAAUAAUUUAUUAACAUGCCUUUCACCUGACCUACUGUUCCUAGCGCAAGUGGCAAAAAGGCUUCGUGAUUGGUACCCGAGGCGCAAGUUCGAAUCCUAAUUGAUUCACAAUUCUAGCUAAAUUUAUUUUUAAAUGAAAUAAACGAAGCAAGUAGCAUACUAUCUUUCUCUCAAAAAAAAAGAAGAAAAAACGUGCCUUUCACCUGAGUCAAAUUCUUACACAUAAUUAAGAAGCAUUCGAAAUCGGAAACUAGGAGAAAUUAUUACCAACCAUCCCAGGUAUAUAGGCAUCAAUUAAGUAGCUAGUUCUAAAAAAUCAACCCCGGAGAAAUAACUGUUAUUUAAUUAAGUUAUUAGGAAUUAGUAUCAGAAUUUAUAAUAUUUUACAUGCAUGUAUGCCUUUUGUUAAAUAUAACAAGAUUUAAACACUGUUCUUUAUCAGCUUAAGUUUUUAGAGUAUAACGAUUAUUUUAUAUUAUUUAAUACUUUUUUAGUGUCGCAGAAUACAUUCAACAAACUUAAAUUUUGAUUUUAAGAACCCUAUUUUAAGACUUUAAGGCUACGGUGUAUGAAAUAUACUUAUACACCAGGGGCACGAAAUGAUUUAUAAUAAAUUAGAGUCAAGCCCCACACUACAUAUUUAACAAAUAUCUCUUGAAUAAUUUGAAGAAAAAUCAGAGAUGAUCAUAGAUACACUGGCCCAUGGGGCCAUUAAUAUUUUGGCUCUAAUGGAGUUAAUAAAAAAUCAAACAAAUAAAUACAACCCAAGCAAAUAUCUAAGCAAUCCAGCUUCCAAUAUAAUCAAGAAUGCCAAAUUGUCCAACCACUGUGGGAAUUUGGACUCAUGCCCUAAACCUUAUAAUUUCACUGUAAAUUUUAAUUACCCUCCUAUCAUUCAGUGUAUUUUCACUUUGCUACUCCGUAGGUAAUUUUAAAAGUUGUACUUUGCUAGUAUUUGGUUUUAAGCGCAAGUCGUUAAAUAGAAUAGUUAUUCAAAUUAUACAUUUACAAAUUACAUGCACGACAAAAAUAUAUAUAGCUUUUAGUACUAUAUAGUAUGUAUUUUAGCAUGAAGCGUUUUCUAAAAAUAAAAACGCAUGGAGCCCAUAAAGACUUAGAGAGAGAAAGGGUCGUAGGAUGACACGUGGGGCCGGCAAGAUGUGUGGAGACGGCACUGUUAAUGGUUUAAAAAAAAAGGAAAGGAAGGGGGACGACGUGUUGGCGGGGCCUCAGACGGACAAUGGCCUCGGCAAGAUCAGCGACCUCUCCAACAAGUUCUUGGCGGUUAAAGGAAAAGAGAGAGCUGAGAGAGCUGGAAAGGAAGUUGGUGGGGAACGGAACAAGGAAAAGACUGGUGAGAAGGAGGCAAAAGGUAAAGCUCGAGUUACAGACUGGAAUGCUGGUAAGGGAGAGGAAAAAGGCAUAGCUCGAGGUUUAGAUCGGUUUACGGAUAAGAAGACGGAGCUCAAGAAGACAGGUGGUAUUGUCUGUUAUUCUCAUUGGCGUAAGGUGACGGGACCUCGCGGGAGACUUGCCUCUUCAUCGUCGCCGGCUACCCCUCCAGCUAUAUCGACGCCGGUCCGUUCUCUAGGACGGAAUGAGAGAUCGAAGGCUUUAGUCAAGAAGCCAGGAGUUAUUGCGGGCACCUACGCGGGCGUAAACAGGACUGAUGGAGGCUCAGCAUCUAAUAAGAAGGUGUUAUGGGCUGAUGAAGUGGGGUUGGCAUUAACUCACAUUGCUCUAGGUUGUUCUGAGGACCCUACUCUCAUACCUCGAUCAUCUGACACGUCGACGAUUCACACCAGAAGGAGAUCUGACACGGGAAUUGGGAAGGCCAGACCCUCCGUCGCUUCAGGUUUAUACAAGACUUACAAGGAAGCUCUUCUCACGCCCACACCCACACCCCAGCGAGCCACCCGUAGCGAUCAGGGCGCCAAGUUCACUCCAGUCUUCAAAUCCCCGCCCACAUCUUUCUUCACGGGAAAGUGUUUCAGGUGCCUGGCUACUAAUCAUCGGGCGGCUAGUUGUCGAGCGCCACUCCAGUGUGUGCGGUGCUUCAAGACCGGCCACGUCGCAAGAUCCUGCGUGGACCGGUUGCCAAUGGCGGUCUAUAGGGAGAUGAGGGCUCGACCGUCCUAUCUCAGUGCUUUUGUUCCACUGUCAGAAGAUUUCUUCUCCAGGCAGAAUCGCUGUCGCAACGCGAUUCUGGUCGACGUUCUUCCCCCCAAGAACCUUGGUCAUUUCCCUCAGGAGACGAUUGCCAACGGGUUGGCGAGUCGUUUCGGCGGCUUCCCUACCGACUUUCAUGUUGCCAAGUAUAGUCAACGUGAUUUUUUGAUCUUUCUUCCGGAGUGGGUGCCGGCGGAUCAGGUGAUCAGAAGAGAGAUUCUGUCGCUAGACAACCUUAGACUCCACUGCUCCCCCUGGAAUCCCUACCAUGGGCUUCGUCGGGCCUCGCUCACUUACAACGUCUGGAUCCGGUUGGUAUGUUUACCAUAUGAGUGUUGGUCCUCUCGCACAGUGGCAGCUUUGGUUGGCGGUUUCGGUCGUUUCAUACGGGCGGACGACCUCUCGACACGCACGGUGGAUCUCACUGGAUACCGAUGUCUCAUCGCUGUCAACUUCCUCUCCGACAUCCCGGAAAACUUAGAAAUCACUGUGGGGGAUCACUCGCUCUCGGUGCUCAUCCAGCUUGAGAGAUGGGGCCGACGCGACGUGGUUGAUCCUGGCAAUCCCCCUAAUGAACGGACCGAUGCUCAUGACCCUUCGCAGAGAGGUCCAGAAGCGCAUCGCCGUUCAGACGGAUCUAGAAGAGGGCGACGUUCGUCGGCCGGCGGCUCUUCAAGCACGGACGCAUCCUGGAACUCGUCGAAAAUCCGGGACAGAAGGAGAGAUGUUCUUGUUCAGGAUGCUUCGCCGCUUCGGAAACCUGCUCCCACUCCGGCUGACUCCCUGCAGGGCCAGGAGGAUACGACAAGGCUGGUUCCGGCGAUCGUCGGCGCGAGUGGGCCAACGGUCUGGAAUUCAAAUUUGGCUGAUGUUGAUGUGGCAUUGAAUGCGAUCCCUGACGGGGCGGCGGGCGACGUUCCUUCGGAGGCAAAUGGAUUAGUUCUUGUCAAUGCUUCGGGUUCGGUGCCUAUGGGAGAUGCAAAGAUGAAGCAAUGCAUUGAUUACUGUAGCUGUGAAAAGCGGGACAGCUUGAUUUCGGAGAUCUCGUCAUCCAUCUCGAGAACUGGGCAGGGGGUGGUCGUUUGCUUUCGCCCGAAGCGGGCCCACUUGAUCUCCCUAGGCAUCGGGCUCGGUACUGUUCCGCAGGCCAGUCACGCUAUUGAGGGGUGGGGCAGGCAGAUGGCCCACUUGGACCCGGUUUCAGAUGGCCUCGGGUUUGAUAAGGGGCUCGGGAGUGGUCUUAGUCUGCGGGCCACGCAAGUCUCUGGGGGAAGGGGUCAACUCGGCCCGCACGAAGCUGGGGGUGGUGGACGCGGCCCUCUUCCGUGGCCCUCUCACUUUUUUGCGGGGACGGGCAAGCAGAAGGUCCACUUGGUCUCGGGUGCAGACGGGCUCGGGACUGGAGUUGGGCUCGGCUAUCGUACCUUGGCGCGGAUGCAGAUGGGCUCGGGACUGGAGCCGGGUGCAGAUGGGCCCGUGACCGGGGUCGGACUUGGCUAUGGUUUCUUUUCGGGGGCCACGACUGGCGCCGUGGGGUGGGGCCGACUUGGCCCGCGCGGAGUUCGGGCCUUUUUUCUGUUUUGGUGGGGGCCUACUGGCUUCUCUGUUGCCGGACUUGGGGGGAUUUGGCGGUUCUCUUUGGUAGCUGCUUCUUCGUGUUCGGAUCUCCUCGCCAUGCUUUUUCGCUCGGGACCCGAUCGCCCCCCCUUACUCCUCGGCCCGGUGGUUGGAGGGGAAGGCGGGGAGCCCCUCUCGAACGGCGACGUUGUCGUUCGGCCGGCAGGUGGACUGGAGACCGAUCAGAUUUUGGGGGCUGUCAUUAUGGAAUCGGCUUGUCGGGACUGCGCACAGGAGCCCUCUCCCAAAAACGGUACGGAAAGAUUUAAUUCCGGCUCGCCUGCGGCCGGAGUGAUCAACAGAACGAUGGUCGGGAAGGUACUCUCAUUGCCCGAUAUCAGGGGCGUGUGUUCGCCGGUGGGCAUAGUAGCGGGGAUUACUUCUUUGCCCCCCAAUACUGUUCCCUUGACCGCUGAGACGACUACUGAGGUCGGGUUUUCCGGCUCGCCUGCGGCGGGAGUGAUCAACGGAGCGAUGGUCGGGAAGUGUGUGCGCCGUCGUUCGACCAGAGCUUGUGUGAGGCUGAAAUCGGUGGGCAAUGUAUCGGCGCUUGACCGGGCCAAACUGAGGAAGGCUUUCCUGCUGGAAGGGGAGAUCAAUGGACCGAAGCCCGCAGUCGACUCUCGGAUCAUUAGAAAAGUUGUGAAGAAAAGUGCGCUUUGUGGAGUCAAGCUUUCGGGGGUGGAAGCCGAGGAGCUUCACAAGUUCUCGACGCGGGGUUGACCUGUAGUGGGCCUUCUUUUGUGUUUUGGGCCGCCUUUUGGUUGUGUGUCGCUUUUCUUAUGUUUAAUAUUAUUACUUGGAAUGUACGUGGUCUGAACGACUCAUGUAAGCGUCGUAGUGUUAGAGCUAUCAUCUCUAAACACGUUGGUUCGGUGAUUUGUAUCCAAGAAUCAAAAGUGGAUUCGGUGUCUCGUUCCUUUCUCCGGUCUUGUUGUGGCUCGAGUUUCGACAGAUGUCACUUUAUCCCCGCUCGGGGAGCAUCGGGCGGUUUAUUCACUUGUUGGAGCUCAAAAUUUUUCGUUUGUACGGAGGCGUUGGUGCGCGAUCACUCGCUCACUCUCAGCUUUAAUCAUAUUACUAGUGAUACGAGCUUUUACCUUACGAAUGUAUAUGGACCGCCAUCGUGGGAUGGGAAAGAAGAGUUCUGCGCCGAGCUACUCGCUAUCGGUGCGGUGUGUUCCGGAUAUAAAUGGGUUAUUUGUGGGGAUUUCAACUUUACUAGAAACCAGGCUGAACGCACUGGGAACCGGGGGAGCACUAAAGCGAUGUCAAUGUUCUCGGACCUCAUUUCAAAUCUCGAAGUCAUCGACCUGCCCUUGUCCAACCAAAAUUUUACUUGGUCUAAUAUGCAACGCUCACCAACCCUGGCCAAACUGGACAGAUUUCUUGUCUCGACAGAUUGGGAUCAAGGUUUCCCGCUCUGCAGGAUUUCCGCUCUACCUAGAAUUACCUCCGACCACACCCCUUUAAUACUCGAUACUGGAAGCUUGCGCACUAAGAGGACAUUUCGGUUUGAGAAAGUGUGGCUUACUAGGCCGGACUUCACAAACUACGUACCGAUCUGGUGGAACGAAGUACCCGGGCAGAGGUCAGCCAUUCUUACGCUGACAGCGAAGCUGAGACAUUGCAGAAACAGGAUGAAGGAAUGGUGCAAGACAAAAUUCCAUAGCAUAUCCAACGCAAUAAGAACUUUACAGGAAGAAAUUCGAAACAUUGAUCUCUCGGAGGAACGGAAUAUCUUGACCCAGGAAGUACGGGAUAAACGAGUUGAACUUAAAGCACAGCUCCNAUAAGAAAAAAAAAAAAAAAAAAACUUUUUGACAAGAAAUGGAAUAUAUACCCAACAUUCCAGCUACAUGUUGCAACCCCAUCCCUAUAUAUAUUUUGUCCUCUUUUAGGUAAACAUCAUUGUUCCCAGUAAGCUUUUACUUAACAACAAUAAUUUAGAUUUAUGUUCUUUUCUUUGGCAUUUUCUUGUGACAUGCACAUGGGUUCAAGCUGUACAAUUGGAAGCAUUCAUUAAUACAUUGCAUCUCACUCUUUUAACAUUGCCACCACCCUUAACAGGAGAAAAUAAAGGUAGAUUGAAAAAUACCUUUCUUGGUUCUAUUAAUAAGUAUUAAGUUUUUAAGGAUAGAAGAGAAUUUUUUAUUUUUUAUUUUUUCCUGGGAAAGGAAUGUAUAGGGGCCCAUGCCCUAUAUGUCCACAUAGCAUGAACAUGAGAUCGACUCGAGUUCUACGUGGUUGUAGACGAUGAGUUUGGACUAACUUUCUGAUCACUCGAGCUUUGAAACACGUAAUCUCAGAAAAUGCUUGUUUAGAGUUUGUCUGAGAUAUCAUACGAAACAAUAAUUUCUGUAAAAUCUUAAGCCGCAAAUAUCUUGUCGAAGCUCGUAGAUCGAUGUUGACCUCGAUCAUUUUUCUCCGAGAAUUCGCAAACAUUGAACAUCUUGGCAUGCCAGGAAACUAUCAUCCUAUGAUUAAAGAGAGGGAAUUGAGUAAUUUAACUCUAAAGUGAGAAAAAGACCACAUUGUUUCAUGCAUGAGAUAAACAUUGAAAUAUAUAUAUAUAUAUAUAUAUAUAUAUAUAUAUAUAUAUAUAUAUAUAUAUAUAUAUAUAUCUAGGAAAGAGCUUAAAACCUCAAUUUAUUUGAUUCAAACUACCAAAGUCCAUUAACCCAAAAUAAACACGGAAAAAAAAAGUCAUAAUUUUACUAUGAUGUGGAGGGGUCUGCAUGAAAUGAAACUCUCGUUAAGUUGCUGAACAUAGAGUACGUAGAUAUUUAAGAUGGAAAUCGAACCUACGACCUCACCUCAGAGAGCGAACGAAUUUAGAAAUAGUCUGAGCCCGUGACCCCGGCUGAACCAGAAAGAUCCAUUCAGCAGUACAUGUACAGUUGUGAUCUGAUGUUUCUGUGGUGUAGAGGAGAGUGAAAUUAAGUUUUUUUUUGUUUGGUUGUUGAUGAGCUGCUCCUUGAACAAGGAAAAACACAAGAUUGUACUGCCAAAAGCAUCUGUUUCUUUAUUACAUACUCUUUCGAUUGCGGUUGUUAUCAUAAUUUUACAGCACAGAAGAAGAGAAAGUUUUCUUUUUUUUAGAAUAGCUAGGUAGCACGCUACCUGCUUCAUUAUUCAUUGAAAGGAUGAAUUAGGUUACAAGGAUGAGGCAGUCAGGGCCUCGAGGAAGAAAACACCAGACAGUACUUGAAAAAAAAAGAAAAAAGAAAAAGUAAGCGCUUUUAAAGCUUCGGGACCAUCCAAAGUAUAAAAGUAAGCGCUUUCGACGAUGUUCGCUCUAAACAAGGCCAAAAGCUUCGUUUGGAUUGCGGAGAAAUUGCAUCAUGUAUUGUGAGAAAGAAUUUGUACAUAAUAUUACAUUUUGUAUAUCGUAAUACGUCGAUUACGAUAUAUUUUCUGCGGUCUCAACGAGAAAUAUAGAAGUCCAAUUUUAUUUAUCUAUCCAGCAUGCAUUAAAUGGAUUUCAUUGCCAAAUGGGCUUAAGUCUACUAGCACUUGAUGUAUUUGCUCUUCUCUCUUUUGUCCCCUUUUGUAGUCCUUAAUUUAUCUGGUUAUUCAUGAAAAAUAACUUUCUAAAAUUAAAAAAAAAAUUUCUCAAGCAACACUAAUUAUCAGCAUCAUUCUUAUUAUUUCCAUCACGUCAAUCUUUAAGGGCAUGUUUGGUUUAUGGUACUUUUUAAGAUGCAUGAGAUUGAGAGGUUGAAAUUGUAAAAUUUUAUAUUUAUUUUAUCACAAAAUCUGAGUUUGCAAAAAAUUAAAGACUUUUAUGAAAUUUUAUAAUCCCUUAAAACGGAAGAUUUGAAAACUCACCUUUUUCCUUGAUAAUAUACCUUUUUUGCUAUUUUUUUUAUCUAUUCCAUAAUUUUAAAUGGAGUAUAAGAGAGAAAAAAAUUAUGAAUUCCCGAAAUUUAUAAAUAUUUAAAUAUAUUUCAUAUAUUUAAGCAGGUAUGAUUUUUAUAUGAUUAAUUUGGUGUAAAAUGAUAUGUAUAUAUAAUAUUAGUCUCUAGAAAAAAGAAUAUUAGGGUAAUUUUAUUGAUGUAGUUUGACAAUUUUUAUAUUCAACCAAACACAAAAAUAAAAUAUUCCUGAGCAUUUUAAGAUUUAUAUCAAAUAAAAAUAUUUAUACAUAAUACAAAUUUUAUCAUAAAAAUAAAUUUUCAAAAAUAAAAUUAAUUUCCAGUAAAAUAAAUAUUAAACUCCUCAUGGGAACCAAACAUGCCCCAAACGCUAACGAAUCUCUGCAAAUAGUGAUGAAAAUUCAUGUGUUUUUCAAUUAAUUUUAAAAAAGUUUACAUAAUUAUCAAUAAAUUUCGCGGGGGUAUAGCUUUUCAGAAAAGAAAAAUUCUAUUUGUACAUUCCAGAAAGUGAGUAUAGAUCUUACACUCUUCAUCAUAAAGUUGAUAAAAAUCUAAAUAUUUUUUAGUAAAAAUAAAAAAAAUUGAUUUGAUAAAUAAAAUUUUAAUUGCUUUUAGAUGGAGUGGGUGUGAGACCUGUAGCAUUGCUCUUCAGAAAAGGGUAAGAGAGGUGGUAAAUUUUCCACAGGAUGAGGCCACCUCAGCAGCAACCCAAUCCACAUGUGAGGCCCUGCUUUGUCAAAUAGAAAACAACUUGUAACAGUGAAACCAGAACACAAAAGAACAUGCUGGUGCAGUGUGUUAAGAGCUCCAUUAUUAUCCCAUCCUCUGAGCUCUCAUCUCUCCUCCUCUUGAGGAGAAGAGGGAGGAGGGAGUUGCAACAGCCCACAUGGGCAAAGAGACCAAAUAGUGCAGGUGCAGGUGAAGGUGAAGCUGCAGGUGCAGGUGCAGGUGCAGGUGAAGGUGAUGGAGAGAAACCCACCUCCUCUCUUAGGGUUUCCAAGGCCUUCCUUGCUAGGUGUGCUGUUGCUGUUUCUGGCCUUGGGUUUCUUGAUGCUGGGUAAAGUCCUCUAGAUUUCUUAUACUAAUUUGUUUCUGUUAGAGAUCGUUUGGUUCACGAUUUAUAAUAUUCUGAUCACCCUUCCUAUUUUUUAUCUUAUCUUAAAUAUUAAAAAUUAUUAUUAUUGGAUUCAAGUUGGAUAGCUGUAAAAAAUAUUGGUGAAGUAAUAGAACCAUUAUAGAUUUCGUUGGUUAUGAGAUAUUCUUAUUUUCAUGCUUCAUGAGAAUCAUUAGUAGUUUAUUAAUAAAAACAUACUAAUUUUAAUAAUUUUUCAAUUUAAGUAACUUAAUAAGUUUUUUUUUGAGAGAAGAGUAACAACACACUACCUGCUUUAUUCAUUAAGUAAAUAAAUUUAGCUACAUGUAGUGAGGCAGCCAGGGCCUCAAAAAUACAGAGACCGGCUAAAAAGGCAACUAAAAAAAGAAGAGUACAAAAUGUUGAGCAAAGUAACUUAAUAAGUUAGUAAUAAAUUUACCAUUCCAAAUAUAAUAUAUACAAUAUUUUCUAAAUAGUACAAAAUCUUGAACCAAACAAUCCUUUAUAUUAUAUAGUAAUAUUUUCACUGGGAAUGAUUUAAUGGAGCUUUUGUUUUUUCCCCCUCUUUUUUUAUUUUGAAUGUCAGUUAUGAAGUAUGUAGUCAGCCAGGGCCUGAAAGGAAUGGGGUGGCAGGAGUGUGCAUUGAAGGGAUUCAAAUUUGAGAUUAUUUUUAGGAAUUGUUUUCUUUUAGGACAUGUUUGGUUCGUACAUUUUGGAUCCGAAAUAAGAAUCGGUUUGAUCAAAUCCUGCUAAUUUUGUUUGGUUCACAGGAAUCUGUUUGAGACUCCCAUUCUGGAUCGGUAUGGGAAUGGUCUAUUAGCUUACAAAUUGAUUCCAGCCUCCAUUCCCGGAUUGAAGUUUCAAUUCUAAGCCCACACUCACCUCUUCCUCAGGCCCAGCCCAACAUUUCUCCAUCUUAUCCAUCCUUCUUACUCUCCCUAUACCAAUCUCUUCUCUCUUUUCUCAUCAUUAAAAAAAAAAAGGGCAUUUUUUUGUAAUUUCUUGCAUAAAAAUUUUUAAAAUAAAUUCAAACUUUUUUGGCAUAACUCUAACUUGAGAGUAGUAUUAAUUUUUUUUUAUAAAUUUUAGAUAGUUUUAUAAAAUUAUAUUUAAAAGUAAAAUUAGCAUUAUUCUAUUAUUUUUUUUUACUUUGUAUCAACCAAACAGUGAAAUAGAAAUAAUUCAUUCCGAUUUCCAAUCGAAAAAUGAACCAAACAUCUUGGGAGGAGUGGGGCAAUCCAAUUGCCAAUUUGCCAUUCCAAUUCAUUCUCAUUUUAUUAUUCAUUCCAAUUCCACUCUUGAACCAAGCAAGCCCUUAGUUUAGUUUGGUAAGAGAAAGCAAGGGAAAUUGGGAAAUGCGCUUUGAAAGUUUAGUCCUUUCAGCGUAGAAAACCAGUUAUGUUGCAAUUUUUGCCUAGUAAAAAAACAAAAAAAACCUUUCAAUGCACAGUUCAGCUUGCUUCCUGAUAGAAGUGCAUCAAAGAUUAAAAAAAAUAUAUAUACUUACAUCUUCCAUUAUGCCAUUGUUGGAUGGUGAUGUAGUGCUGUAUCCACAACCCAUUUACAUGUAUGUCAAACAAAAAACAACUUGCCCACAUACCAGAUUCAUAAUUAAUUGCAGAUACACACCAAACCACUAGAGGCUAGUGAUAAAUAUUUGAACACCGAUACUGAGGUUGGAGAUUCAAGGUAUCUUAUGUGCUUAAAUUUGGAGCUUACCUCUCUAGCUUUGCGUUUAAUGUAUAUAGGGUACGAGAACUACGGAGUAGAUAAAAAAAAAAAAAAAAGGAAAGAAAAAAAGAAGUUUCCAUGUUCAGUUCCUUUUGGAAGUGAAGGUCUGGACAUUUGAAAAUUUUACUUGCUCUCGAAAAUAUAACAAGUAAUUCCUUAAUUUACAAGGUUUUGAUUUGUUGGUUUUAAAUUUAUCCAGGUACAGUGGAGACUGGUCCCGAAUUGGUGUCAUUUCAAAAGAGGACGAAGAAUUGUUGAGGUUCGCUGCAUUCCUGAUAAUCCCAUUGUGCAUAGUUCUGAUAUUUUCAAUUUCUGAAGAAAAUAAUACUCCGUAAUUGAAAUAGCUUGUUAUGUAUCGUAAAAAUCUAUGCAUCCCUACCAAUUUCUUUCAUCGAAAUUCUCUGGAAAGCUUUUUCCUUGCUGAAGUUAAAAGCAGAACUGUGAACCUUUUAGUUAGCCAAUUAUGUCAUUUUUAAUUCUCUAAUAAAGAAGUUGUUAUAGUAUAACGCUCCAAUAGUUUCAUAUUGGAUUAAAAAAUAAUUCUGAUUGAAAUAUAUGAAAUCUCGCACGUUAAUAAUAACAAUAACCGGACUUAAAUAUUUUGAGCCGGUGAUUUGAGCCUAAUAAGUUAUUAUUGCUUGCGGGUCAGAUCGUUUCAUAUAAAAGCUAUGCAAGAAAGGCACAUAAGUUAUCACAAACGAAAGGUCGCUUUGGAGUCACAAAAAUAACACUCCAUUUCCAUAAGGUUGGAAGAUCACUUCAUCCAGGAUAUGAAUAGUUAUGUCAGAUCUGCAGUAUAAGCAGGCCACUAAUUUUACAUUUUCCGAAAUGUUAUUGGUAUGCAAAAUAAUUAUCGGGGAAGGAAGGUCUGCUAAAGAGUAUUGGAUAUCUUAUCGCAGAAGGAUUGAAGGAAGGUCUGCUAAAGAGUUUUGGAUAUCCCCCCAAAGUUUACAGAUGUUGACACUACGAAAAAGUGGGGGACAAUUAGACUAGUGUGGAAACAAAAACUUCAAAUCAAAUUUGAAAGUGUGAUAACCGGAAAUAGAACAUUUUACAAUAUGAUAACAAGUCGAGAGCAGUUAACUAUAACGGAGUUAGAAGAGCAAAAACUAUAUCUCGAUGUGGUUCUAUAAGCUGCACACGUCUUAUGCAUCGACACUCAAUGCAUAUAUUCUGUCAAUGAAAAUUUAGAUAUUCUUCUUGCGAAUCAAGAUUUGAGAGUCGGUCGAGAGUGUUACACUCGUUAACUCUGCUAUCUGUGGUUCUCUUUUAUCGGACUCAAGGAGGGAUUCGUUUACAAAUAUUUUUGUUGCAUUUGUUAACAACCCUACACCAGAAUCGAUCAAACAGUAAAUUUCUUCGAAUUGAUAUAGAACACAAUGUCAUUCAGAUGUCAAGGAAUAGUACGCAAUUCAAAAUUUUUGCGGAACCCAAAUCAGCAACUUCACACUCCUCAGGCAAUACAUAAUGGGUUCAUGCAUCUGAAUUUAACAAACUUUGCACCAAACUGGGUUGUAAUUUUAGAUUGAUUACAAGGAUAAUACGAAUCAAUUAAUACAUAAUGGGUUCUACGCACACCAAGAUAACUGAUUCCAAAUUGUUCUCUCUUAUUCAUGCAUUCAUUCACUUCACACAUUUAAGUAUAGAAAAGAACAGAACAAACACCACAAAAGCAAAUACCAAAUGAGCAGAGAACGAACACAGAGGCAAAAGCACAAACACCUUACCUGCAGAUGCGAAAUCCUAGUGCUUCUUCAAGAACCCUUGGGCGA
rnacentral:lncRNA from 1 species